UCUGGAUGGUUCAUUUUGAUAUCUUUUUUAUAUCUGACAAGACACAAGAAAACAACAUAUCUAUCCUAUUAUAUUUACCACUAUCAUCUACAGUGAGUGCUAAGUUGCCCAUAAAUUUUAGUUGACUUCUGUUCAGAGUGAUCUGAAAAAUAGAUAGCAAAAAAGAUUAGUGGGUAUUACAUUUAGAUUAGCUACAUUUGGGCAAAUAAAUGAGUAGAAGUCAAUUUUGUUUGCUUGAUGUUUCACUUCUUUGAUCUCUUCAUCAUUCUCAUUUUGUUUCAUUGCUUACCAUUUGUUCGAAAUUUUUUCUAGCAGUGGCAAGCAUGGUUAGGGCGAGCAACGAGGGUUCCUGUAGUGCAUAACCAUUUCAAGUCGCCCAAGUUCUAAAGAGAGAUCAGAAGUGCCAGCUACUGAAGCAAAAAAAAGGACCUGAUACACAUUGUAAUCAUGGACUGCUGAUAUACCUGAUGCAUUUCUUCAUGAUGGUCGAUUUCCUUUCACCGGAUCUUACAUGUUUAAUUAUGUGUGCUCAGAACCAAAAACUGAUUGAGAUCUUCAGUUCUUACUUGCAGAUGUUCUGUUAUUCAGAGUAAUUCAGUUUCCAGUCUCUGUGUAUUAAUCAAAUUAUGGGUUAUUUUCAACCAUAUAGGCUUUUAUUAUAUGUUCAGUUAUGCUUCCAUGGGUUUUGCAUAUGUAUUAACAAAACAACCAGACUGCUAUUAUGUAUAUACUUGGAUCAAAGGGUGUACAAUUAAUUUGCUCUUACGAAAGGAAUGAGUAGGCAGCUAGCAGAAUGGGAGGACAAUCAUGACAAGCGAACGAACACAUAAAUAGUAAUCCCACAAUUUUUACAACUGCAUUCCACUUUAAUUUGGUAUGGACAUGCAUUUUUAUCCUUGGAGUACUUUGGAUUUUAAGUGGGAAUCAUUGGUUCUUUUCUUCUUAAUAUUUUACUUCUUAUAAUUACAAAUACCAAUUUUAGAGAAUUGAGCUCGUACUUAAAAUUCAAUUGAGUAUGAAGCAACUGCCCAUUGUGUGAAAGAAACAAUUAUAACAUUGUACUCUAACAAAUCACACAUAUAGAGAAAUGUUAUUUUCGAGUCUCCUUAACCUACUGAUCUUUUUUUAGAUAUAUGAAACUUGCAUUUGUUUUCUUAAUUCUUUUGCAAUGCAGGUGAUAUUCCUUGGUUGCAGCUGACGCUAAAAAAAAUUACUCCUGAAGCACUAGAAGUGCCCUCUCUAUGGCGCAUCACUCACUGGAUCCAGAUGGGCAACAUUCCGCUUCAAGAUUAAAGAGUACAGUUUUUGCAUGCUAUCAUUGCUUAUCCAAGAGUAAUCUACCAUGUGCCUAAUUGUUAUGACCGGCCAGGUCUAUGGCCGCCGCAGGCCCAACAGGCAGGCGUAGGCCAGCAAGUUACCUUAGUUUUAUUCAGAUUAGGCAAGUUAUCUCAGGAUUGAUUCUUCUACAAGUUAUCUAGGAUAUAAAUAUAGAUUGUAAGACUCUUUUGGAUGGAAGCAAUAAAGACUAUUAUUAUCUUUUGUUGCCCGGCUCCUAGAGGAGCCGGAAACCCUAGCCGCCGCAACCUAGCCGCCACCGCCCUCAACCCUAGCCGCGACGGCGCCCUGCUGCCGGCACGCCCGCUCCUCGCCGCGCCCACUUCCUCUUUGCCCCUACAACCUACGCAGUAGAGCCGGUAGGAACCCUAGUCCUACCAAUUUGGUAUUCAGAGACCACGUUGUGAUCAUGUCGAUGCCGCCAUCACCGCCGCCGCUGCCCGUCGGCACCACUACGCCCAUGACGACGGCGCCAAGCAUCACCGCGCCGACCACAUCCGCCGGGACCUCGCUGGCGUGUCCCGUCUCCUCCUCGGCACCACCAGCACCGGCGUCUCCGGGCGCAUCUCCACCACCACCGCUGGCCGCCUUGUCUCCGGAGCAACUCGCCGCCACGCUACAUCACCUCGUCACCGUCGUCCACUGGCUUCAGCUCCACCAGCAAUAUGGGGCCGGGGCCUAUGCUCAACCGCCAUCGGCCCCGAUCGCCGCCCCUGGUCUUCUCCUACAGCAGCAGCCGCAGUACGGGGGCGGGGCGAGCCCCUUCGCGCCACCACCAGGACCGUACCAGGGCGCGGCCGCGUACGGCGGGCCCCUGUUCGGGCCGAUCCAGGCGAGAUUGGCAUCCGGGCCAGCACCGGCCGCGACGCCCCUCUGGCCUUUGCCGCCGGCCACCUCGGCCGCCUCCUAGCUGCAGCAGCUGCCGCCCACCGUCUGGCCGGUUCAGCAGAUGCCGUUCCCCGCAUGGCCGGCCCAGCAGCCGCCGCCGACGGCGUCCCAGGGCCUGCGUCCACCGCCAUUCUCCACGCCCUCAUCAGCCGGGACCACCUCGGGCGCGGCCUCGACUAUCGGGUUACCGAUCCAUCAGGUCCAGUUUCCCCCGUCCCCGUCCCCCCUGCCAGCAUGGGCGGCGGGGUCUUCGCCUUCAUCGGUCUACUCCACGACCCCGGUUGAGCCGACUCCGUUUUCGCAGUUCGGCGGGCCAUCCGGCCCCGCCGGCCAGUACCCGGACUACUCCGAUCAGGCACCUCCGGCUUCACUCUUCCGAGCCCCCGCGCCUGCUCAGCACGGCGGGCCGCAGCAGACACCGCCGCUGUUCACCAAACUCGACUUCGCCACCUACGAGGGCACGGAGGACCCCCUCAACUGGCUCAACCAGUGCGAACAGUUCUUUCGAGGGCAGCGGACGCUCGCUUCUGAUCGUACCUGGCUCGCGUCCUAUCAUCUUCGAGGCGCAGCACAGACCUGGUACUACGCCCUCAAGCAGGACGAGGGCGGCAUGCCACCAUGGGAGCGCUUCCAGGAGCUCUGUCUUCUCCGUUUUGGGCCUCCUAUCCGCGGGAGCCGACUGGCGGCCCUCGGCCGUUUACCAUUCACAUGUACGGUGCAGGACUACGCCGAUCGCUUCCAGGCCCUGGCAUGCCACGCGCCGGGCGUCUCCGCGACCCAGCGCGCCGAGCUCUUUGUGGGCGGUCUGCCGGACCAUAUCCGCGUGGACGUCGAGCUCCGGGAUCCCCCCGAUCUCCAGACGGCCAUGUACUACGCCCGGGCCUUCGAGCAGCUGGCCCAGGCACUGCAGCCGCCACUCGGACGGAGUGGCCGCCAGCCCAGUCGGCCAGCACCGACUUCCUCAGCCCCGGGUCGGCCUCUCCCAUCCGCGACGGCCACAUCCCCGGCUGCCACACGGCCCUUCCGUCGGCUGUCACCGGCCGAGCAGCAGGAGCGUCGCAGUCAGGGUCUCUGCUUCAACUGCGAUGGGCCCUAUACGCCGACCCAUGUCUGCCCCCGCCUCUUUUAUUUAGAGACGGUCGACUACACCGAGGAGAACGACUCGCCCGAUCCGUUACAUCCGCCUGCGGCGCCCGAGGACGCGGCCGCGGAUUCCGCAGCGACGGCGUGCGUCGUCUCCCUUCAUGCCCUGGCCGGCAUCCGGGGCGAGCAGACCAUGCUGCUGCCGGUGACGAUCCAUGGCGAGCGCCUGGUGGCCCUGCUAGAUACGGGCUCCACACACAACUUUCUGCCCGAAUCGACCAUGCGUCGGCUAGCCCUCCCGACGAUGGGCGGGGAGCGCCUGCGGAUCACAGUGGCGAACAGUGAUCGCCUCCGGUGCCAUGGGCUAGCCCGCGAUGUUCCCAUCUCCAUCAGCGACGAACACUUUUCCAUCACUUGUGCAGGGAUCGAUCUCGGCUGCUUCGACUUCAUCCUCGGGGUGGACUUUCUCCGGACCCUCGGCCCCAUCCUAUGGGAUUUCGACGCACUCAUGAUGACAUUCUGGCGACAGGGACGCCGCAUCCGGUGGGAGGGCAUUGGGGGCACCGCGGCUGCCGUGCCACAUCUCCAGCUGGCUGCCGCGUCCUCGGAGGUUGAGCACCCCCUACUGGAUUCUCUUCUAGAGCAGCACAACAACCUCUUCGACGCUCCGCGGGGUCUUCCGCCUGCCCGGGUGUACGACCAUCAUAUUCACCUCGUACCAGGCUCCACUCCGGUGGCGGUACGGCCCUACCGCUACCCCCAGCUGCAGAAGGAUGAGUUGGAGCGCCAGUGUGCCCUGAUGCUCGCCGCAGGCAUCAUCCGGAUCUCCACGUCACCCUUCACGGCGCCGGUGCUUCUCGUCCGUAAGUCCGACGGCACAUGCCGCUUCUGCAUCGACUACCGCGCCCUCAACGCACUCACGCUCAAGGACAAGUUCCCUAUACCGGUGGUCGACGAGCUCUUGGAUGAGAUCCAUGGGGCACGCUUCUUCACCAAGCUCGAUCUUCGGUCGGGCUAUCAUCAGGUGCGCAUGCAUCCGGACGACAUCGCCAAGACGGCGUUUCGCACCCACCAUGGCCACUUCGAGUUCUUGGUGAUGCCUUUCGGCCUCGCCAACGCCCCGGCGACUUUCCAAGCCCUGAUGAACGACGUCCUUCGACCCUACUUACGGCGAUUUGUGCUUGUUUUCUUUGAUGACAUUCUUAUCUACAGCGCCACCUGGGCCAAACAUCUCCAGCACGUCGCCAUCGUCUUCAACGAGUUUCGGGCGCACCACCUCCACCUUAAGCGCUCAAAGUGCUCGUUCGGGACACCUACCGUCGCCUACCUCGGCCAUGUCAUCUCGGCCGACGGAGUGGCUAUGGACGCUGAUAAGGUGGCGGCCGUCUCCGCCUGGCCGACGCCUUACUCACCGCGGGCUCUCCGCGGGUUCCUCGGACUCGCUGGCUACUACCGGAAAUUUAUCCGGGAGUUCGGACUCAUCGCGGCGCCCCUCGCGCGGUUGCUUCGCCGCGAUGCCUUCGCCUGGGACGCUGAGGCGACGACGGCAUUCGAGGCCCUCAAGGGGGACCUCACGACGGGCCCCGUCCUCCAGAUGCCCGACUUCGACCGUCCGUUCGUGGUGGACUGUGACGCCUCGGGCGCCGGGUUCAGCGCAUUACUUCAUCAGGGCGAUGGGCCCCUCGCCUUCUUCAGCCGGCCUUUCGCUCCGCGCCAUCUUAAGUUGGCCGCUUACGAGCGGGAGCUCAUUGGCCUCGUCCAGGCCGUGCGUCAUUGGCGGCCAUACUUGUGGGGGCGGACCUUCCACAUUCGCACGGACCACUACAGCCUGAAGUUCUUGCUGGAUCAACGGCUGUCGACCGUACCGCAGCACCAGUGGAUCAGCAAGCUCUUCGGCUUCGACUUCUUCGUCGAGUAUCGGUCGGGCCGUCUUAACACCGUGGCCGACGCGCUAUCCCGUCGCGAUUCCGACCUCGCGCCAACCGCCGACGCGUCCGCCGGGACGGCCCUGUGCAUCCGCUUCAGGCCAUCGUUCGGUCUCUUCACCGACAUUCGACGCGCCACUGCGACGGCCGAUGACGCCGCACUUCUUCAGCAGCAGCUUGCGGUCAGCGACUUGGAGGAGCCCUGGCGCUUCUCUGACGGACUGCUCCUGCAUGGACACCGGAUCUUUGUUCCGGCGCAUGAUGAUCUCCGUCACCAGGUGUUGCAGCUCGCUCACUCGGCGGGCCAUGAGGGUGUGCAGAAAACCCUCCAUCGUCUUCGCGCCGACUUCUACGUCCUUGGCGAUCGUGCCCUGGUCCGCGACUGGGUUCGGUCUUGUCAGACUUGCCAGCGCAACAAGACAGAAACCCUGAGACCGGCGGGGCUCCUUCAGCCCUUGGAGGUGUCGUCUCAGGUUUGGGCGGAUAUCUCCUUGGACUUCAUCGAGGGCCUUCCCAAGGUAGGGGGCAAGUCAGUCAUCCUCACGGUGGUCGAUCGCUUCUCUAAGUAUGCCCACUUCAUCGCGUUGGGCCAUCCAUACACAGCGGCAUCCGUGGCCCGGGCUUUCUUCGACGGCAUAGUCUGUCUACACGGGUUCCCGAUGUCGAUCGUCAGUGAUCGGGACCCAAUCUUCAUGGGCCAUGUCUGGCGCGACCUCUUCAGGAUGGCGGGUGUCCAGCUCCGCCUGAGUAUGGCGUUCCAUCCUCAGAAUAACGGUCAGUCUGAGGUGGUUAACAAGGUCAUUGCCAUGUAUUUGCGUUGUGUGACAGGUGAUCGACCUCGCGCUUGGGUGGACUGGCUAUCUUGGGCGGAGUACUGCUACAACACUUAUUAUCACUCCACCCUGCGCGCGACGCCAUUUGAGGUGGUCUAUGGUCGACCACCCCCGCCUAUACUUCCGGUCGACCCGGAGACGGCUCGGACAGCAGUAGCGGGUGACCUUAUCUGCACCCGUGAUGAGAUGCUGGCUGAGGUCCGUCAGCGUCUCCUUCAGGCCCAGCAGACGGCCAAGCACUACUACGACGAUCAUCAUCGCGAGGCGGAGUUCGCAGUGGGUGACUGGGUGUGGCUGCGUCUUCUCCACCGCUCUACGCAGUCACAGGACCCGCGCGCAAAGCGCAAGCUUGGCCCUCGCUACGCCGGGCCCUUCCCUAUCAUGGAGCGCAUUGGGAAGGUGGCCUAUCGUCUUCAGCUUCCAGCCCGCGCCCGCAUCCACGACGUGUUCCAUGUGGGGCUGCUCAAACCUUUCCGUGGCGAGCCACCGGCGGCUCCUCCGACGCUUCCUCCAACCGCCGAUGGUCGCAUUCUUCCAGAGCCAGCAAAGGUGUUGCAGGCUCAGCUCCGUCGUGGCGUCUGGUUCAUCCUAAUUCAGUGGGCGGGCCUUCCGGAGGAAGAGGCGACUUGGGAGCAGCGUGAGGAUUUCCGUCAAAACUAUCCAGACUUUCAGCUCGAGGACGAGCUGUUUGCGCAGGCGGGGAGAGAUGUUAUGACCGGCCAGGUCUAUGGCCGCCGCAGGCCCAACAGGCAAGCUUAGGCCCGCAAGUUACCUUAGUUUUAUUCAGAUUAGGCAAGUUAUCUCAGGAUUGAUUCUUCUACAAGUUAUCUAGGAUAUAAAUAUAGAUUGUAAGACUCUUUUGGAUGGAAGCAAUAAAGACUAUUAUUAUCUUUUGUUGCCCAGCUCCUAGAGGAGCCGGAAACCCUAGCCGCCGCAACCUAGCUGCCACCGCCCUCAACCCAAGCCGCGACGGCGCCCUGCCGCCGGCGCGCCCGCUCCUCGCCGCGCCCACUUCCUCUUUGCCCCUACAACCUACGCAGUAGAGCCGGUAGGAACCCUAGUCCUACCACUAAUAUAUAUACAUGAUUGUUGCACCAUCACAAGAUUUCCAUUAUAUACAUGGGCAUAACUUUCUUUACUGUGAAUUAAUCGACACGAUGCUUGUGUUUUAAGGAAUGGCAAUGCUAAAUUCUACAGUGGUACACUCUACUCUGUCGAAUGUUUACAAACACCACAAAGCUAGAGAUCUAUUGUGGAAACCUUUCUUUCUUUUGUUUGUUAUAACUUCUUAGUGUAAAAAUAAAUAUGGCUUGUCCAUUACGAAACAAAUAUGUAAGAUUUAUUACUUUUCAAAGUUGAAUUGUUCCUGACAAUUACACAUGAGAGUGCAUAUAAUUCAGUUGUGCUGACUUGCUGUUUCUAAAAUGAUAAGCUGGAGCUGGAGUUACAUAUGAGAGUACAGAUAAUUAAGUUGUGCUCCUGACUUGAUUAACAAAAGCUGCAGAAGAAAGGGACAAAAUACCAAAAAGCUGAAAAUUUGAAGAAAGGUGGAAGUAGGGAACUACCCAACUUGAUUCAAGAUUACGAAGGGAAAAAGGGCAUUGAUUGAGCAGGAGAAAACAAUAAUGGGCCGAGGCAAGGAUAUAGUGCUCAGUUAGUAAAGAGAUAUGUGGGAAGUGGAGCAGCGGGAUGCAAAUGGAAUUUUUGUGACUCACUGAAGGUGAGCAAAACUUCAGAAAAGAAAUUGCAACAGAAGUAGAGCCUCAUCACCAAGAGAACAUAGGGAUUUUAAGUUUUUUGUAGCCUGCACCGGAGACUGUAGAGUUAAGUUUCUACAUCUCAGUGUACAAUUUAACUAUAUCAGGUUAUUUACUAUGUAGUAAAUAUUUGCUUUUGCCAUUGCUGAUCAUGUCCUUCUCUCUGUGCUUGGAAGCAUAAACUUACUUAGCGAUCCUUUUUUGUUAGGCUAAACUUACAUCCUUCUGCUAAUAGUUUAGUGAUCUAAUGAUUAUAAUGAUUAUUCAAAAGGGACAUUGCAUGUUCCUAGAUGCAUAGCCUUUCUUAUAUAUGUUUUCAUAACACUGGAUUUUUUUAGGGAUAACACUAGGAUUUUAGUUUUUUUGUUGAAUUCUGAAACUGAAAUCCGAAUAAACCAUAUCUUGAAAGGCCAGCAUAAUGGCACUUCAAAUAAAUGCUAAUCUACACUCACACUGCAGGCUGGUGCCCGUUCUUCUGGUGAUUUGGUCAAAGCUACUACUAAGCAAAGAUAUUUUGCAUGCUAUAAGAACAUGUAGGUUCAUAUCGGGCACCCAUACGAUCCUGCUAAGAAUUUUGAAUUACUUAGAUAUAUUAGCAACAACAUCGUUUAAAAUCCAAAUGAAUGGCAUACUCCCUGUUAAUUCAAAUGCAGAUACAAACUUUAAGCUUUUCUAAAUAAGGAAAUAUAUUUACAGUCCAAGUGUAGUAAUCUGGGAGUUUGAAAUUAUUUCCCCUUUUUAAAAAGCCAGAGACAUUGAAGUUAAUAUUCACAUACAUGGCAGGGAAGGAUUGAUCUCUCUGCUUAGCAAUGAAUUUGUAGCACCCGAUGAAAACAAAUAUUGUGCAGACCCUAUGGCGUCAUUGUGUUAGUAGGCCGUAUUGGCGUUGCAAUCUCCUCUUGGACUAACUAAUGCAUAGGUUAUAAAGCACAUCAAACCUUUUGUAGACCAACAAAUCCAACAUGCUAUGUAGAUCUUGUGUGUACGGAUUAAUCUGAUUGAUGACUGAUGGAAAGCUUCAGGACUUGUAUUCCCCCCUCACCCCAUAUCUGUAGUUUCCUAUGAGUCACUUUCAAAUCUGGAUAUUCUCCUAUAUAUUAACUACUGCAUUGGAGGAAAUUAAGUCACUUGCAAUCUACAAUUAAAGAAUAAUUAAGUGGGACCUUGAGAAACAAUAGUUUGCCAUGGUCUGCAAUGGGGCAGAGCCAAAGAGUUUGACCAGAAUAAAAGUCUGGACAACAAAAUUCAAUGGAGAGAGAUAUCCAUCUGUUACCCACAAAUGAUUAUUUUUUUGUUAGUGCCUCUUCUUCUUUCUUGCCCAUUAUUUAGUUAUAACGUGACAAAAUAAACAUGUUGAUUAUACCCGACUUGCACUGAACAUGAAAUUUUUGUUUAUGCACAAACAUGCGAGUUGUGUAGUACUGUAGGUUGACACUGCAUCGAAACAUAACACACAAUUACAUGUGCGUGUAUGAGGAGAAACUAUACCUGCAGCACACAUCCAUCUAUCUCGGUUUAUGGUGAACUGGCAAAUUUAUGGUAAUGAAGCAUGUAGCUGAGGUGUGAGACAAAUCUUCCGUAGAGUGUUAAUGUUGUUAGUAGUAAUUAACUUGUCUCCUAGGAGCUAACUGCAGCAACUUACCUUGAUUGUUAGAUACAGUAUAGCAUUAUUCAUCUUCAUCCAUGAUUGAUUCUUCUGUUUGCUGCAAUUCUUUGACAAUUCUUAGCAUCACACAACCAAAGGUGAGAAGCAAAAAUUUGAAGCACGGAACAAAAAAUUCACAAACCAAUGCAUUUAGUAACCAUCGUGGUUCUUACAGGUCCUUUCCUUUGCAAUCCAAAUUCCAGUUCUAUGACUUGAAAGGAAGGAUGAAGUCCAUGUCAUGAAAAUUUUAAUAUGUGGUCGCUGCCUCCUCCAGCCAUGGAUUUCAAAGGUACGCAGAUUCACCUACAACAUGCAUAUGGGAGAACUUGCAGAUCUGAAGGAAUCAAGCAUCUAGCUAAGGUGCUUGUAGCCACGAUCAGUGCUCCAUCGAGCAAUUUCUUAGGGCUGCACAGAUGCAACAACCUGGUAGAUAGGAUCAUCCUCUAUCAAAAAUAGCCAAAGGAAGAUGUCAACAUCAGAGAUCCCAUAUAGGCCAGGAUAAUGUCAAAAUAUCUUGGCAUGGGCACGUGGCUCAUAGCCUGAACUUGACACCGUUUACUCCAUGCUCGUGGUGGAGGCCUAGUCUCGACGGGGGCAUGGCAGUGGCGUGCGUUAGGAUUGGAUUCCGUCGAAGACCUAUGAUUGAUUUUCUAGCUGAGGCUGCGUGCGUGAGGGCUGGAGAGUCGGUUGUAGCCACGGGAUUCUGGCGGCGGCAGCGUGCGUGAAGGCAGGGGAGUCUGUAGCCCUAUUAUGUUUUUCUUCUUUCAACGAUGGACUCAGGUAAUGGCAUGACCCUGUAUAUUUUAUCUUCUUUUCAUCAUGGAGUCAAGGUUUCUAAAAAAAUUAUGGCAUUGCUGAAUCGUAGAGGCAGGUGAAAGCUAUUUUGACGCAUCAUAUGCUUUAGUAGGAGUUAUCUCUACCUCUCUAUCUCUACCUAAUCUCUACCUAAUAAUAAUAAAGCAAAUUGGGUUUCUGCUUGUCCGUCAUUAGCAUUUUUUCUAAAAAGGCCCUCCCUUUUUUAGUAUUUAACCCGCAGUAUAAUUUAAAGUCUGUUUCUUCCUGAGAUAAUGAUUCGUUUUUUGCAAAAAGGACCCCGGCACCACCACCACAGCCCCGCCUUAUCCACUGCCGGCAUUCACAAACGGGCAGCGGCGCGCUUGCCGCGGCGUCCGCUCCGCCCGAGCCCUGUAAUUGGGCGAGGCGUCGCGGCGGCGUUCCUGCACGCCUUGUCGGCCUUGGAGCUAGCCUUGGCGGGGGCGGGCCGAGGCGUCGCGGCGGAGGACGAUAAGCAGACGAGCACGCGCCGCCGGCGCGUUUGCCGUGGGCGUCCGCUACGCCCGAGCCCAGGAGUGGGGCGAGGGGUCGCGCCGGCGUUCCUACGCGCCUUGUCGCCCUUGAAGCUGGCCUUGGCGGACCGAGGCGUCGCGGCGGAGGACGACAAGGCGGCCGACGUGCUCUGUUGGGGCCACGCGUCGCGGCGCUCCGGCUCCAGCAGAUGACGGCAGAGAGCCAGGUGUGGCUUUGUGUCGCCAACAGCCACGAGGUCAUCGGCACCGGCCACCGUGCCAGGCUGGACCAGCUGCUGCAGCCCCCCUGCGCCGUCGCCGUCGCCGUGGCAGAAGAAGCGCGAGUUCCCCCUCGCUAUCGGAGGCUGGGUGUCGUUCUCCAGUGCAGAUUGUCUAAUUGAGUUUCUGAAAGCGUCGUCCACGUCUGCACUUCAUGGGUCCAUACACUGGGAACUCACGCCUGAGAACUUCCUGCUCACCAGAUUGGUUUCAGUUUCUCUGUCUCCAUCGAAGAAGGUCAGCCCUUUGCCUCGAACAGUUUCAUGAUUACACUCAUGACAUGAUUUACAGUACAGUAGUCUCAUGCGUUGAGCUCAUAAUACUGCAGUACGGACAUACAUUUUCCAAGCAUAAAUUAAUGCAGAAGUUAUUGCAACAGGAGGGCCUCUAAUUGUAAUUCAUAUACACAUUUCAGCUCAAUAACCAUAUAACGCAUCUUGCCCGAGCUUGAUACUUCCGACUAUCUCCAUGUCUUUCGGGUCAAAGUUAAGUUAGCUCUAUAUCCGAGCAGGCAUUUUAUUCUUUGGGAGCAAGCAAGAAUCAAUAUAUUCUCUCGCAAUAUUAUUUCCUCCUUCCCCUUGUCUUCCUAAUCCCCUGCAGAUGGCAUGACUAGCUAGGUUCAUAACAGUUGUUGUAACUAUCCGUCCGGUCAUGAAUCAACAAUUACAAUUGUUUUGACUUCUACGAUCAGUUCAGCCGCCUAUGUUGUACUGCCGCUGCCAUUUAAAGAUUUAAGUUGUCAGGUGGAUAUAGGUUCCAUUAGAUUGAAAGUAAUGAAAUUUUAUUUGCCAACCUGGCUGCACUUUGUGAUGCUUUAUUUAUGUAUAUACUUAAAGUUCAAAUGUGAUGUAUGCUUUACUCCUUAUUUGAUACUUGCAUUUGUCGCAAGCACCUUGCUGUUCUGAGUAAUGGUUGAUAUCUUACAUUUAGCCGAGAAGCUGAAAACUUACGAGAUGGAAAACCUUCUAGAUAUACCUAAAAAGACCUUGAAGAUAUCUUCUACUAGACUGGACGAGCUGAUUGACUGGCGAUGGGGAUGCAGCAGUGACCUGCAAUUCUUUCUGCUGUGGAUGGUUCAUUUUGAAAUCUUUUUUAUAUCUGACAAGACACAAGAAAACAACAUAUCUAUCCUGUUAUAUUUACCACUAUCAUCUACAGUGAGUGCUAAGUUGCCCAUAAAUUUUAGUUGACUUCUGUUCAGAGUGAUCUGAAAAAUAGAUAGCAUAAAAGAUUAGUGGGUAUUACAUUUAGAUUAGUUACAUUUGGGCAAAUAAAUGAGUAGAAGUCAAUUUUGUUUGCUUGAUGUUUCACUUCUUUGAUCUCUUCAUCAUUCUCAUUUUGUUUCAUUGCUUACCAUUUGUUCGAAAAAAUUUCUAGCAGUGGCAAGCAUGGUUAGGGCGAGCAACGAGGGUUCCUGUAGUGCAUAACCAUUUCAAGUCGCCCAAGUUCUAAAGAGAGAUCAGAAGUGCCAGCUACUGAAGCAAAAAAAAGGACCUGAUACACAUUGUAAUCAUGGACUGCUGAUAUACCUGAUGCAUUUCUUCAUGAUGGUCGAUUUCCUUUCACCGGAUCUUACAUGUUUAAUUAUGUGUGCUCGGAACCAAAAACUGAUUGAGAUCUUCAGUUCUUACUUGCAGAUGUUCUGUUAUUCAGAGUAAUUCAGUUUCCAGUCUCUGUUUAUUAAUCAAAUUAUGGGUUAUUUUCAACCAUAUAGGCUUUUAUUAUAUGCUCAGUUAUGCUUCCAUGGGUUUUGCAUAUGUAUUAACAAAACAACCAGACUGCUAUUCUGUAUAUACUUGGAUCAAAGGGUGUACAAUUAAUUUAAUCUUACGAAAGGAAUGAGUAGGCAGCUAGCAGAAUGGGAGGACAAUCAUGACAAGCGAAGGAACACAUAAAUAGUAAUCCCACAAUUUUUACAACUGCAUUCCACUUUAAUUUGGUAUGGACAUGCAUUUUUAUCCUUGGAGUACUUUGGAUUUUAAGUGGGAAUCAUUGGUUCUUUUCUUCUUAAUAUUUUACUUCUUAUAAUUACAAAUACCAAUUUUAGAGAAUUGAGCUCGUACUUAAAAUUCAAUUGAGUAUGAAGCCACUGCCCAUUGUGUGAAAGAAACAAUUAUAACAUUGUACUCUAACAAAUCACACAUAUAGAGAAAUGUUAUUUUCGAGUCUCCUUAACCUACUGAUCUUUUUUUAGAUAUAUGAAACUUGCAUUUGUUUUCUUAAUUCUUUUGCAAUGCAGGUGAUAUUCCUUGGUUGCAGCUGACGCUAAAAAAAAUUACUCCUGAAGCACUAGAAGUGCCCUCUCUAUGGUGCAUCACUCACUGGAUCCAGAUGGGCAACAUUCCGCUUCAAGAUUAAAGAGUACAGUUUUUGCAUGCUAUCAUUGCUUAUCCAAGAGUAAUCUACCAUGUGCCUAAUUGUUAUGACCGGCCAGGUCUAUGGCCGCCGCAGGCCUAACAGGCAGGCGUAGGCCAGCAAGUUACCUUAGUUUUAUUCAGAUUAGGCAAGUUAUCUCAGGAUUGAUUCUUCUACAAGUUAUCUAGGAUAUAAAUAUAGAUUGUAAGACUCUUUUGGAUGGAAGCAAUAAAGACUAUUAUUAUCUUUUGUUGCCCGGCUCCUAGAGGAGCCGGAAACCCUAGCCGCCGCAACCUAGCCGCCACCGCCCUCAACCCUAGCCGCGACGGCGCCCUGCCGCCGGCACGCCCGCUCCUCGCCGCGCCCACUUCCUCUUUGCCCCUACAACCUACGCAGUAGAGCCGGUAGGAACCCUAGUCCUACCAAUUUGGUAUUCAGAGACCACGUUGUGAUCAUGUCGAUGCCGCCAUCACCGCCGCCGCUGCCCGUCGGCACCACCGCGCCCAUGACGACGGCGCCAAGCAUCACCGCGCCGACCACAUCCGUCGGGACCUCGCUGGCGUGUCCCGUCUCCUCCUCGGCACCACCUGCACCGGCGUCUCCGGGCGCAUCUCCACCACCACCGCUGGCCGCCUUGUCUCCGGAGCAACUCGCCGCCACGCUACAUCACCUCGUCACCGUCGUCCACUGGCUUCAGCUCCACCAGCAAUAUAGGGCCGGGGCCUAUGCUCAACCACCAUCGGGCCCGAUCGCCGCCCCUGGUCUUCUCCUACAGCAGCAGCCGCAGUACGGGGGCGGGGCGAGCCCCUUCGCGCCACCACCAGGACCGUACCAGGGCGCGGCCGCGUACGGCGGGCCGCUGUUCGGGCCGAUCCAGGCGAGAUUGGCAUCCGGGCCAGCGCCGGCCGCGACGCCCCUCUGGCCUUUGCCGCCGGCCACCUCGGCCGCCUCCUAGCUGCAGCAGCUGCCGCCCACCGUCUGGCCGGUUCAGCAGAUGCCGUUCCCCGCAUGGCCGGCCCAGCAGCCGCCGCCGACGGCGUCCCAGGGCCUGCGUCCACCGCCAUUCUCUGCGCCCUCAUCAGCCGGGACCACCUCGGGCGCGGCCUCGACUAUCGGGUUACCGAUCCAUCAGGUCCAGUUUCCCCCGUCCCCGUCCCCCCUGCCAGCAUGGGCGGCGGGGUCUUCGCCUUCACCGGUCUACUCCACGACCCCGGUUGAGCCGACUCCGUUUUCGCAGUUCGGCGGGCCAUCCGGCCCCGCCGGCCAGUACCCGGACUACUCCGAUCAGGCACCUCCGGCUUCACUCUUCCGAGCCCCCGCGCCUGCUCAGCACGGCGGGCCGCAGGAGACACCGCCGCUGUUCACCAAACUCGACUUCGCCACCUAUGAGGGCACGGAUGACCCCCUCAACUGGCUCAACCAGUGCGAACAGUUCUUUCGAGGGCAGCGGACACUCGCUUCAGAUCGUACCUGGCUCGCGUCCUAUCAUCUUCGAGGCGCAGCACAGACCUGGUACUACGCCCUCGAGCAGGACGAGGGCGGCAUGCCACCGUGGGAGCGCUUCCAGGAGCUCUGUCUUCUCCGUUUUGGGCCUCCUAUCCGCGGGAGCCGACUGGCGGCCCUCUGCCGUUUACCAUUCACAUCUACGGUGCAGGACUACGCCGAUCGCUUCCAGGCCCUGGCAUGCCACGCGCCGGGCGUCUCCGCGACCCAGCGCGCCGAGCUCUUUGUGGGCGGUCUGCCGGACCAUAUCCGCGUGGACGUCGAGCUCCGGGAUCCCCCCGAUCUCCAGACGGCCAUGUACUACGCCCGGGCCUUCAAGCAGCGGGCCCAGGCACUGCAGCCGCCACUCGGACGGAGUGGCCGCCAGCCCAGUCGGCCAGCACCGACUUCCUCAGCCCCGGGUCGGCCUCUCCCAUCCGCGACGGCCACAUCCCCGGCUGCCACACGGCCCUUCCGUCGGCUGUCACCGGCCGAGCAGCAGGAGCGUCGCAGUCAGGGUCUCUGCUUCAACUGCGAUGAGCCCUAUACGCCGACCCAUGUCUGCCCCCGCCUCUUUUAUUUAGAGACGGUCGACUACACCGAGGAGAACGACUCGCCCGAUCCGUUACAUCCGCCUGCGGCGCCCGAGGACGCGGCCGCGGAUUCCGCAGCGACGGCGUGCAUCGUCUCCCUUCAUGCCCUGGCCGGCAUCCGGGGCGAGCAGACCAUGCUGCUGCCGGUGACGAUCCAUGGUGAGCGCCUGGUGGCCCUGCUAGAUACGGGCUCCACACACAACUUUCUGUCCGAAUCGACCAUGCGUCGGCUAGCCCUCCCGACGACGGGCGGGGAGCGCCUGCGGAUCACAGUGGCGAACAGUGAUCGCCUCCGGUGCCAUGGGCUAGCCCGCGACGUUCCCAUCUCCAUCAGCGACGAACACUUUUCCAUCACUUGUGCAGGGAUCGAUCUCGGCUGCUUCGACUUCAUCCUCGGGGUGGACUUUCUCCGGACCCUCGGCCCCAUCCUAUGGGAUUUCGACGCACUCAUGAUGACAUUCUGGCGGCAGGGACGCCGCAUCCGGUGGGAGGGCAUUGGGGGCGCCGCGGCUGCCGUGCCACAUCUCCAGCUUGCUGCCGCGUCCUUGGAGGUUGAGCACCCCCUACUGGAUUCUCUUCUAGAGCAGCACAACGACCUCUUCGACGCUCCGCGGGGUCUUCCGCCUGCCCGGGUGUACGACCAUCAUAUUCACCUCGUACCAGGCUCCACUCCGGUGGCGGUACGGCCCUACCGCUACCCCCAGCUGCAGAAGGAUGAGUUGGAGCGCCAGUGUGCCCUGAUGCUCGCCGCAGGCAUCAUCCGGAUCUCCACGUCACCCUUCACGGCGCCGGUGCUUCUCGUCCGUAAGUCCGACGGCACAUGCCGCUUCUGCAUCGACUACCGCGCCCUCAACGCACUCACGCUCAAGGACAAGUUCCCUAUACCGGUGGUCGACGAGCUCUUGGAUGAGAUCCAUGGGGCACGCUUCUUCACCAAGCUCGAUCUUCGGUCGGGCUAUCAUCAGGUGCGCAUGCAUCCGGACGACAUCGCCAAGACGGCGUUUCGCACCCACCAUGGCCACUUCGAGUUCUUGGUGAUGCCUUUCGGCCUCGCCAACGCCCCGGCGACUUUCCAAGCCCUGAUGAACGACGUCCUUCGACCCUACUUACGGCGGUUUGUGCUUGUUUUCUUUGAUGACAUUCUUAUCUACAGCGCCACCUGGGCCAAACAUCUCCAGCACGUCGCCAUCGUCUUCAACGAGUUUCGGGCGCACCACCUCCACCUUAAGCGCUCAAAGUGCUCGUUCGGGACACCUACCGUCGCCUACCUCGGCCAUGUCAUCUCGGCCGACGGAGUGGCUAUGGACGCCGAUAAGGUGGCGGCCGUCUCCGCCUGGCCGACGCCUUACUCACCGCGGGCUCUCCGCGGGUUCCUCGGACUCGCUGGCUACUACUGGAAAUUUAUCCGGGAGUUCGGACUCAUCGCGGCGCCCCUCGCGUGGUUGCUUCGCCGCGAUGCCUUCGCCUGGGACGCUGAGGCGACGACGGCAUUCGAGGCCCUCAAGGGGGACCUCACGACGGGCCCCGUCCUCCAGAUGCCCGACUUCGACCGUCCGUUCGUGGUGGACUGUGACGCCUCGGGCGCCGGGUUCGGCGCAUUACUUCAUCAGGGCGAUGGGCCCCUCGCCUUCUUCAGCCGGCCUUUCGCUCCGCGCCAUCUUAAGUUGGCCGCUUACGAGCGGGAGCUCAUUGGCCUCGUCCAGGCCGUGCGUCAUUGGCGGCCAUACUUGUGGGGGCGGACCUUCCACAUUCGCACGGACCACUACAGCCUGAAGUUCUUGCUGGAUCAACGGCUGUCGACCGUACCGCAGCACCAGUGGAUCAGCAAGCUCUUCGGCUUCGACUUCUUCGUCGAGUAUCGGUCGGGCCGUCUUAACACCUUGGCCGACGCGCUAUCCCGUCGCGAUUCCGACCUCGCGCCAACCGCCGACGCGUCCGCCGGGACGGCCCUGUGCAUCCGCUUCAGGCCAUCGUUCGGUCUCUUCACCGACAUUCGACGCGCCACUGCGACGGCCGAUGACGCCGCACUUCUUCAGCAGCAGCUUGCGGUCAGCGACUUGGAGGAGCCCUGGCGCUUCUCUGACGGACUGCUCCUGCAUGGACACCGGAUCUUUGUUCCGGCGCAUGAUGAUCUCCGUCACCAGGUGUUGCAGCUCGCUCACUCGGCGGGCCAUGAGGGUGUGCAGAAAACCCUCCAUCGUCUUCGCGCCGACUUCUACAUCCUUGGCGAUCGUGCCCUGGUCCGCGACUGGGUUCGGUCUUGUCAGACUUGCCAGCGCAACAAGACAGAAACCCUGAGACCGGCGGGGCUCCUUCAGCCCUUGGAGGUGCCGUCUCAGGUUUGGGCGGAUAUCUCCUUGGACUUCAUCGAGGGCCUUCCCAAGGUAGGGGGCAAGUCAGUCAUCCUCACGGUGGUCGAUCGCUUCUCUAAGUAUGCCCACUUCAUCGCGUUGGGCCAUCCGUACACAGCGGCAUCCGUGGCCCGGGCUUUCUUCAACGGCAUAGUCUGUCUACACGGGUUCCCGAUGUCGAUCGUCAGUGAUUGGGACCCAAUCUUCACGGGCCAUGUCUGGCGCGACCUCUUCAGGAUGGCGGGUGUCCAGCUCCGCCUGAGUAUGGCGUUCCAUCCUCAGAAUAACGGUCAGUCUGAGGUGGUUAACAAGGUCAUUGCCAUGUAUUUGCGUUGUGUGACAGGUGAUCGACCUCGCGCUUGGGUGGACUGGCUAUCUUGGGCGGAGUACUGCUACAACACUUAUUAUCACUCCACCCUGCGCGCGACGCCAUUUGAGGUGGUCUAUGGUCGACCACCCCCGCCUAUACUUCCGGUCGACCCGGAGACGGCUCGGACAGCAGUAGCGGGUGACCUUAUCUGCACCCGUGAUGAGAUGCUGGCUGAGGUCCGUCAGCGUCUCCUUCAGGCCCAGCAGACGGCCAAGCACUACUACGACGAUCAUCAUCGCGAGGCGGAGUUCGCAGUGGGUGACUGGGUGUGGCUGCGUCUUCUCCACCGCUCUACGCAGUCACAGGACCCGCAGGCAAAGCGCAAGCUUGGCCCUCGCUACGCCGGGCCCUUCCCUAUCAUGGAGCGCAUUGGGAAGGUGGCCUAUCGUCUUCAGCUUCCAGCCCGCGCCCGCAUCCACGACGUGUUCCAUGUGGGGCUGCUCAAACCUUUCCGUGGCGAGCCACCGGCGGCUCCUCCGACGCUUCCUCCAACCGCCGAUGGUCGCAUUCUUCCAGAGCCAGCAAAGGUGUUGCAGGCUCAGCUCCGUCGUGGCGUCUGGUUCAUCCUAAUUCAGUGGGCGGGCCUUCCGGAGGAAGAGGCGACUUGGGAGCAGCGUGAGGAUUUCCGUCAAAACUAUCCAGACUUUCAGCUCGAGGACGAGCUGUUUGCGCAGGCGGGGAGAGAUGUUAUGACCGGCCAGGUCUAUGGCCGCCGCAGGCCCAACAGGCAAGCUUAGGCCCGCAAGUUACCUUAGUUUUAUUCAGAUUAGGCAAGUUAUCUCAGGAUUGAUUCUUCUACAAGUUAUCUAGGAUAUAAAUAUAGAUUGUAAGACUCUUUUGGAUGGAAGCAAUAAAGACUAUUAUUAUCUUUUGUUGCCCAGCUCCUAGAGGAGCCGGAAACCCUAGCCGCCGCAACCUAGCUGCCACCGCCCUCAACCCAAGCCGCGACGGCGCCCUGCCGCCGGCGCGCCCGCUCCUCGCCGCGCCCACUUCCUCUUUGCCCCUACAACCUACGCAGUAGAGCCGGUAGGAACCCUAGUCCUACCACUAAUAUAUAUACAUGAUUGUUGCACCAUCACAAGAUUUCCAUUAUAUACAUGGGCAUAACUUUCUUUUACUGUGAAUUAAUCGACACGAUGCUUGUGUUUUAAGGAAUGGCAAUGCUAAAUUCUACAGUGGUACACUCUACUCUGUCGAAUGUUUACAAACACCACAAAGCUAGAGAUCUAUUGUGGAAACCUUUCUUUCUUUUGUUUGUUAUAACUUCUUAGUGUAAAAAUAAAUAUGGCUUGUCCAUUACGAAACAAAUAUGUAAGAUUUAUUACUUUUCAAAGUUGAAUUGUUCCUGACAAUUACACAUGAGAGUGCAUAUAAUUCAGUUGUGCUGACUUGCUGUUUCUAAAAUGAUAAGCUGGAGCUGGAGUUACAUAUGAGAGUACAGAUAAUUAAGUUGUGCUCCUGACUUGAUUAACAAAAGCUGCAGAAGAAAGGGACAAAAUACCAAAAAGCUGAAAAUUUGAAGAAAGGUGGAAGUAGGGAACUACCCAACUUGAUUCAAGAUUACGAAGGGAAAAAGGGCAUUGAUUGAGCAGGAGAAAACAAUAAUGGGCCGAGGCAAGGAUAUAGUGCUCAGUUAGUAAAGAGAUAUGUAGGAAGUGGAGCAGCGGGAUGCAAAUGGAAUUUUUGUGACUCACUGAAGGUGAGCAAAACUUCAGAAAAGAAAUUGCAACAGAAGUAGAGCCUCAUCACCAAGAGAACAUAGGGAUUUUAAGUUUUUUGUAGCCUGCACCGGAGACUGUAGAGUUAAGUUUCUACAUCUCAGUGUACAAUUUAACUAUAUCAGGUAAUUUACUAUGUAGUAAAUAUUUGCUUUUGCCAUUGCUGAUCAUGUCCUUCUCUCUGUGCUUGGAAGCAUAAACUUACUUAGCGAUCCUUUUUUGUUAGGCUAAACUUACAUCCUUCUGCUAAUAGUUUAGUGAUCUAAUGAUUAUAAUGAUUAUUCAAAAGGGACAUUGCAUGUUCCUAGAUGCAUAGCCUUUCUUAUAUAUGUUUUCAUAACACUGGAUUUUUUUAGGGAUAACACUAGGAUUUUAGUUUUUUUGUUGAAUUCUGAAACUGAAAUCCGAAUAAACCAUAUCUUGAAAGGCCAGCAUAAUGGCACUUCAAAUAAAUGCUAAUCUACACUCACACUGCAGGCUGGUGCCCGUUCUUCUGGUGAUUUGGUCAAAGCUACUACUAAGCAAAGAUAUUUUGCAUGCUAUAAGAACAUGUAGGUUCAUAUCGGGCACCCAUACGAUCCUGCUAAGAAUUUUGAAUUACUUAGAUAUAUUAGCAACAACAUCGUUUAAAAUCCAAAUGAAUGGCAUACUCCCUGUUAAUUCAAAUGCAGAUACAAACUUUAAGCUUUCCUAAAUAAGGAAAUAUAUUUACAGUCCAAGUGUAGUAAUCUGGGAGUUUGAAAUUAUUUCCCCUUUUUAAAAAGCCAGAGACAUUGAAGUUAAUAUUCACAUACAUGGCAGGGAAGGAUUGAUCUCUCUGCUUAGCAAUGAAUUUGUAGCACCCGAUGAAAACAAAUAUUGUGCAGACCCUAUGGCGUCAUUGUGUUAGUAGGCCGUAUUGGCGUUGCAAUCUCCUCUUGGACUAACUAAUGCAUAGGUUAUAAAGCACAUCAAACCUUUUGUAGACCAACAAAUCCAACAUGCUAUGUAGAUCUUGUGUGUACGGAUUAAUCUGAUUGAUGACUGAUGGAAAGCUUCAGGACUUGUAUUCCCCCCUCACCCCAUAUCUGUAGUUUCCUAUGAGUCACUUUCAAAUCUGGAUAUUCUCCUAUAUAUUAACUACUGCAUUGGAGGAAAUUAAGUCACUUGCAAUCUACAAUUAAAGAAUAAUUAAGUGGGACCUUGAGAAACAAUAGUUUGCCAUGGUCUGCAAUGGAGCAGAGCCAAAGAGUUUGACCAGAAUAAAAGUCUGGACAACAAAAUUCAAUGGAGAGAGAUAUCCAUCUGUUACCCACAAAUGAUUAUUUUUUUGUUAGUGCCUCUUCUUCUUUCUUGCCCAUUAUUUAGUUAUAACGUGACAAAAUAAACAUGUUGAUUAUACCCGACUUGCACUGAACAUGAAAUUUUUGUUUAUGCACAAACAUGCGAGUUGUGUAGUACUGUAGGUUGACACUGCAUCGAAACAUAACACACAAUUACAUGUGCGUGUAUGAGGAGAAACUAUACCUGCAGCACACAUCCAUCUAUCUCGGUUUAUGGUGAACUGGCAAAUUUAUGGUAAUGAAGCAUGUAGCUGAGGUGUGAGACAAAUCUUCCGUAGAGUGUUAAUGUUGUUAGUAGUAAUUAACUUGUCUCCUAGGAGCUAACUGCAGCAACUUACCUUGAUUGUUAGAUACAGUAUAGCAUUAUUCAUCUUCAUCCAUGAUUAAUUCUUCUGUUUGCUGCAAUUCUUUGACAAUUCUUAGCAUCACACAACCAAAGGUGAGAAGCAAAAAUUUGAAGCACGGAACAAAAAAUUCACAAACCAAUGCAUUUAGUAACCAUCGUGGUUCUUACAGGUCCUUUGCAAUCCAAAUUCCAGUUCUAUGACUUGAAAGGAAGGAUGAAGUCCAUGUCAUGAAAAUUUUAAUAUGUGGUCGCUGCCUCCUCCAGCCAUGGAUUUCAAAGGUACGCAGAUUCACCUACAACAUGCAUAUGGGAGAACUUGCAGAUCUGAAGGAAUCAAGCAUCUAGCUAAGGUGCUUGUAGCCACGAUCAGUGCUCCAUCGAGCAAUUUCUUAGGGCUGCACAGAUGCAACAACCUGGUAGAUAGGAUCAUCCUCUAUUAAAAAUAGCCAAAGGAAGAUGUCAACAUCAGAGAUCCCAUAUAGGCCAGGAUAAUGUCAAAAUAUCUUGGCAUGGGCACGUGGCUCAUAGCCUGAACUUGACACCGUUUACUCCAUGCUCGUGGUGGAGGCCUAGUCUCGACGGGGGCAUGGCAGUGGCGUGCGUUAGGAUUGGAUUCCGUCGAAGACCUAUGAUUGAUUUUCUAGCUGAGGCUGCGUGCGUGAGGGCUGGAGAGUCGGUUGUAGCCACGGGAUUCUGGCGGCGGCAGCGUGCGUGAGGGCAGGGGAGUCUGUAGCCCUAUUAUGUUUUUCUUCUUUCAACGAUGGACUCAGGUAAUGGGAAAACUAAUCUAUGGCAUGACCCUGUAUAUUUUAUCUUCUUUUCAUCAUGGAGUCAAGGUUUCUAAAAAAAUUAUGGCAUUGCUGAAUCGUAGAGGCAGGUGAAAGCUAUUUUGACGCAUCAUAUGCUUUAGUAGGGUUAUCUCUACCUCUCUAUCUCUACCUAAUCUCUACCUAAUAAUAAUAAAGCAAAUUGGGUUUCUGCUUGUCCGUCAUUAGCAUUUUUUCUAAAAAGCCCCUCCCUUUUUUAGUAUUUAACCCGCAGUAUAAUUUAAAGUCUGUUUCUUCCUGAGAUAAUGAUUCGUUUUUUGCAAAAAGGACCCCGGCACCACCACCACAGCCCCGCCUUAUCCACUGCCGGCAUUCACAAACGGGCAGCGGCGCGCUUGCCGCGGCGUCCGCUCCGCCCGAGCCCAGUAAUGGGGCGAGGCGUCGCGGCGGCGUUCCUGCAUGCCUUGUCGGCCUUGGAGCUAGCCUUGGCGGGGGCGGGCCGAGGCGUCGCGGCAGAGGACGUUAAGCAGACGGGCACGCGCCGCCGGCGCGCUUGCCGUGGGCGUCCGCUUCGCCCGAGCCCAGGAGUGGGCCGAGGGGUCGCGCCGGCGUUCCUACACGCCUUGUCGCCCUUGAAGCUGGCCUUGGCGGACCGAGGCGUCGCGGCGGAGGACGACAAGGCGGCCGACGUGCUCUGUUGGGGCGACGCGUCGCGGCGCUCCGGCUCCAGCAGAUGACGGCAGAGAGCCAGGUGUGGCUUUGUGUCGCCAACAGCCACGAGGUCAUCCGCGCCGGCCACCGUGCCAGGCUGGACCAGCUGCUGCAGCCCCCCUGCGCCGUCGCCGUCGCCGUGGCACAAGAAGCGCGAGUUCCCCCUCGCUAUCGGAGGCUGGGUGUCGUUCUCCAGUGCAGAUUGUCUAAUUGAGUUUCUGAAAGCGUCGUCCACGUCUGCACUUCAUGGGUCCAUACACUGGGAACUUACGCCUGAGAACUUCCUGCUCACCAGAUUGGUUUCAGUUUCUCUGUCUCCAUCGAAGAAGGUCAGCCCUUUGCCUCGAACAGUUUCAUGAUUACACUCAUGACAUGAUUUACAGUACAGUAGUCUCAUGCGUUGAGCUCAUAAUACUGCAGUACGGACAUACAUUUUCCAAGCAUAAAUUAAUGCAGAAGUUAUUGCAACAGGAGGGCCUCUAAUUGUAAUUCAUAUACACAUUUCAGCUCAAUAACCAUAUAACGCAUCUUGCCCGAGCUUGAUACUUCCGACUAUCUCCAUGUCUUUCGGGUCAAAGUUAAGUUAGCUCUAUAUACGAGCAGGCAUUUUAUUCUUUGGGAGCAAGCAAGAAUCAAUAUAUUCUCUCGCAAUAUUAUCUCCUCCUUCCCCUUGUCUUCCUAAUCCCCUGCAGAUGGCAUGACUAGCUAGGUUCAUAACAGUUGUUGUAACUAUCCGUCCGGUCAUGAAUCAACAAUUACAAUUGUUUUGACUUCUACGAUCAGUUCUGCCGCCUAUGUUGUACUGUCGCUGCCAUUUAAAGAUUUAAGUUGUCAGGUGGAUAUAGGUUCCAUUAGAUUGAAAGUAAUGAAAUUUUAUUUGCCAACCUGGCUGCACUUUGUGAUGCUUUAUUUAUGUAUAUACUUAAAGUUCAAAUGUGAUGUAUGCUUUACUCCUUAUUUGAUACUUGCAUUUGUCGCAAGCACCUUGCUGUUCUGAGUAAUGGUUGAUAUCUUACAUUUAGCCGAGAAGCUGAAAACUUACGAGUUGGAAAACCUUCUAGAUAUACCUAAAAAGACCUUGAAGAUAUCUUCUACUAGACUGGACGAGCUGAUUGACUGGCGAUGGAGAUGCAGCAGUGACCUGCAAUUCUUUCUGCUGUGGAUGGUUCAUUUUGAAAUCUUUUUUAUAUCUGACAAGACACAAGAAAACAACAUAUCUAUCCUGUUAUAUUUACCACUAUCAUCUACAGUGAGUGCUAAGUUGCCCAUAAAUUUUAGUUGACUUCUGUUCAGAGUGAUCUGAAAAAUAGAUAGCAUAAAAGAUUAGUGGGUAUUACAUUUAGAUUAGUUACAUUUGGGCAAAUAAAUGAGUAGAAGUCAAUUUUGUUUGCUUGAUGUUUCACUUCUUUGAUCUCUUCAUCAUUCUCAUUUUGUUUCAUUGCUUACCAUUUGUUCGAAAAAAUUUCUAGCAGUGGCAAGCAUGGUUAGGGCGAGCAACGAGGGUUCCUGUAGUGCAUAACCAUUUCAAGUCGCCCAAGUUCUAAAGAGAGAUCAGAAGUGCCAGCUACUGAAGCAAAAAAAAGGACCUGAUACACAUUGUAAUCAUGGACUGCUGAUAUACCUGAUGCAUUUCUUCAUGAUGGUCGAUUUCCUUUCACCGGAUCUUACAUGUUUAAUUAUGUGUGCUCGGAACCAAAAACUGAUUGAGAUCUUCAGUUCUUACUUGCAGAUGUUCUGUUAUUCAGAGUAAUUCAGUUUCCAGUCUCUGUUUAUUAAUCAAAUUAUGGGUUAUUUUCAACCAUAUAGGCUUUUAUUAUAUGUUCAGUUAUGCUUCCAUGGGUUUUGCAUAUGUAUUAACAAAACAACCAGACUGCUAUUCUGUAUAUACUUGGAUCAAAGGGUGUACAAUUAAUUUAAUCUUACGAAAGGAAUGAGUAGGCAGCUAGCAAAAUGGGAGGACAAUCAUGACAAGCGAAGGAACACAUAAAUAGUAAUCCCACAAUUUUUACAACUGCAUUCCACUUUAAUUUGGUAUGGACAUGCAUUUUUAUCCUUGGAGUACUUUGGAUUUUAAGUGGGAAUCAUUGGUUCUUUUCUUCUUAAUAUUUUACUUCUUAUAAUUACAAAUACCAAUUUUAGAGAAUUGAGCUCGUACUUAAAAUUCAAUUGAGUAUGAAGCCACUGCCCAUUGUGUGAAAGAAACAAUUAUAACAUUGUACUCUAACAAAUCACACAUAUAGAGAAAUGUUAUUUUCGAGUCUCCUUAACCUACUGAUCUUUUUUUAGAUAUAUGAAACUUGCAUUUGUUUUCUUAAUUCUUCUGCAAUGCAGGUGAUAUUCCUAAUGGUUGCUGCUGACGCUUAAAAAAUUACUCCUGAAGCACUAGAAGUGCCCUCUCUAUGGCGCAUCACUCACUGGAUCCAGAUGGGCAACAUUCCGCUUCAAGAUUAAAGAGUACAGUUUUUGCAUGCUAUCAUUGCUUAUCCAAGAGUAAUCUACCAUGUGCCUAAUAUAUAUACAUGAUUGUUGCACCAUCACAAGAUUUCCAUUAUAUACAUGGGCAUAACUUUCUUUACUGUGAAUUAAUCGACACGAUGCUUCUGUUUUAAGGAAUGGCAAUGCUAAAUUCUACAGUGGUACUCUCUACUCUGUCGAAUGUUUACAAACACCACAAAGCUAGAGAUCUAUUGUGGAAACCUUUCUUUCUUUUGUUUGUUAUAACUUCUUAGUGUAAAAAUAAAUAUGGCUUGUCCAUUAGGAAACAAAUAUGUAAGAUUUAUUACUUUUCAAAGUUGAAUUGUUCCUGACAAUUACACAUGAGAGUGCAUAUAAUUCAGUUGUGCUGACUUGCUGUUUCUAAAAUGAUAAGCUGGAGUUGGAGUUACAUAUGAGAGUAGAGAUAAUUUAGUUGUGCUCCUGACUUGAUUAACAAAAGCUGCAGAAGAAAGGGACAAAAUACCAAAAAGCUGAAAAUUUGAAGAAAGGUGGAAGUAGGGAACUACACAACUUGAUUCAAGGUUACGAAGGGACAAAGGGCAUUGAUUGAGCAGGAGAAAACAAUAAUGGGCCGAGGCAAGGAUAUAGUGCUCAGUUAGUAAAGAGAUAUGUGGGAAGUGGAGCAGCGGGAUGCAAAUGGAAUUUUUGUGACUCACUGAAGGUGAGCAAAACUUUAGAAAAGAAAUUGCAACAGAAGUAGAGCCUCAUCACCAAGAGAGCAUAGGGAUUUUAAGUUUUUUGUAGCCUGCACCGGAGACUGUAGAGUUAAGUUUCUACAUCUCAGUGUACAGUUUAACUAUAUCAGGUUAUUUACUAUGAAGUAAAUAUUUGCUUUUGCCAUUGUUGAUCAUGUCCUUCUCUCUGUGCUUGGAAGCAUAAACUUACUUAGCGAUCCUUUUCUGUUAGGCUAAACUUACAUCCUUCUGCUAAUAGUUUAGUGAUAUAAUGAUUAUAAUGAUUAUUCAAAAGGGACGUUGCAUGUUCCUAGAUGCAUAGCCUUUCUUAUAUAUGUUUUCAUAACACUGGAUUUUUUUAGGGAUAACGCUGGGAUUUUAGUCUUUUUGUUGAAUUCCGAAACUGAAAUCCGAAUAAACCAUAUCUUGAAAGGCCGGCAUAAUGGCACUUCAAAUAAAUGCUAAUCUACACUCACACUGCAGGAUGGUGCCCGUUCUUCUGGUGAUUUGGUCAAAGCUACUACUAAGCAAAGAUAUUUUGCAUGCUAUAAGAACAUGUAGGUUCAUAUCGGGCACCCAUACGAUCCUGCAAAGAAUUUUGACUCACUUUGAUAUAUUAGCAACAACAUCGUUUAAAAUCCAAACGAAUGGCAUACUCCCUGUUAAUUCAAAUGCAGAUACAAACUUUAAGAUUUUCUAAAUAAGAAAAUAUAUUUACAGUCCAAGUGUAGUAAUCUGGGAGUUUGAAAUCAUUUCCCCUUUUUAAAAAGCCAGGGACAUGGAAGUUAAUAUUCACAUACAUGGCAGGGAAGGAUUGAUCUCUCUGCUUAGCAAUGAAUUUGUAGCACCCGAUGAAAACAAAUAUUGUGCAGACCCUAUGGCGUCACUGUGUUAGUAGGCCGUAUUGGCGUUGCAAUCUCUUCUUGGACUAACUAAUGCAUAGGUUAUAAAGCACAUCAAACCUUUUGUAGACCAACAAAUCCAACAUGCUAUGUAGAUCUUGUGUGUACGGAUUAAUCUGAUUGAUGACUGAUGGAAAGCUUCAGGACUUGUAUUCCCCCCUCACCCCAUAUCUGUAGUUUCCUAUGAUUCACUUUCAAAUCUGGAUAUUCUCCUAUAUAUUAACUACUGCAUUGGAGGAAAUUAAAUCACUUGCAAUCUACAAUUAAAGAAUAAUUAAGUGGGACCUUGAGAAACAAUAGUUUGCCAUGGUCUGCAAUGGGGCAGAGCCAAAGAGUUUGACCAGAAUAAAAGUCUGGACAACAAAAUUCAAUGGAGAGAGAUAUCCAUUUGUUACCCACAAAUGAUUAUUUUUUUGUUAGUGCCUCUUCUUCUUUCUUGCCCAUUAUUUAGUUAUAACGUGACAAAAUAAACAUGUUGAUUAUACCCGACUUGCACUGAACAUGAAAUUUUUGUUUAUGCACAAACAUGCGAGUUGUGUAGUACUGUAAGUUGACACUGCAUCGAAACAUAACACACAAUUACAUGUGCGUGUAUAAGGAGAAACUAUACCUGCAGCACACAUCCAUCUAUCUCGGUUUAUGGGAGAACUGGCAAAUUUAUGGUAAUGAAGCAUGUAGCUGAGGUGUGAGACAAAUCUUCCGUAGAGUGUUAAUGUUGUUAGUAGUAAUUAACUUGUCUCCUAGGAGCUAACUGCAGCAACUUACCUUGACUGUUAGAUACAGUAUAGCAUUAUUCAUCUUCAUCCAUGAUUGAUUCUUCUGUUUACUGCAAUUCUUUGACAAUUCUUAGCAUCACACAACCAAAGGUGAGAAGCAAAAAUUUGAAGCACGGAACAAAAAAUUCACAAACCAAUGCAUUUAGUAACCAUCGUGGUUCUUACAGGUCCUUUGCAAUCCAAAUUCCAGUUCUAUGACUUGCAAGGAAGGAUGAAGUCCAUGUCAUGAAAAUUUUAAUAUGUGGUCGCUGCCUCCUCCAGCCAUGGAUUUCAAAGGUACGCAGAUUCACCUACAACAUGCAUAUGGGAGAACUUGCAGAUCUGAAGGAAUCAAGCAUCUAGCUAAGGUGCUUGUAGCCACGAUCAGUGCUCCAUCGAGCAAUUUCUUAGGGCUGCACAGAUGCAACAACCUGGUAGAUAGGAUCAUCCUCUAUCAAAAAUAGCCAAAGGAAAAUGUCAGCAUCAGAGAUCCCAUAUAGGCCAGGAUAAUGUCAAAAUAUCUUGGCAUGGGCACGUGGCUCAUAGCCUCAACUUGAGACCGUUUACUCCAUGCUCGUGGUGGAGGCCUAGUCUCGACGGGGGCAUGGCAGUGGCGUGCGUUAGGAUUGGAUUCCGUCGAAGACCUGGGAUUGAUUUUCUAGCUGAGGCUGCGUGCGUGAGGGCUUGAGAGUCGGUUGUAGCCAUGGGAUUCUGGCGGCGGCAGCGUGCGUGAGGGCAGGGGAGUCUGUAGCCCUAUUAUGUUUUUCUUCUUUCAACAAUGGACUCAGGUAAUGGGAAAACUAAUCUAUGGCAUGGCCCUGUAUAUUUUGUCUUCUUUUCACGAUGGAGUCAAGGUUUCUAAAAAAAUUAUGGCAUUGCUGAAUCGUAGAGGCAGGUGAAAGCUAUUUUGAUGCAGCAUAUGCUUUAGUAGGAGUUAUCUCUACCUCUCUAUCUCUACCUAAUCUCUACCUAAUAAUAAAGCAAAUUGGGUUUCUGCUUGUCCGUCAUUAGCAUUUUUGCUAAAAAGCCCCUCCUUUUUUAGUAUUUAACUCGCAGUACAAUUUAAAGUAUGUUUCUUCCUGAGAUAAUGAUUCAUUUUUUGCAAAAAGGACCCUGGCACCACCACCACAGCCCCGCCUUAUCCACUGCCGGCCUUCACAAACGGGCAGCGGCGCGCUUGCCGCGGUGUCCGCUCCGCCCGAGCCCAGUAAUGGGGCAAGGCGUCGCGGCGGCGUUCCUGCACGCCUUGUCGGCCUUGGAGCUAGCCUUGGCGGGGGCGGGCCGAGGCGUCGCGGCGGAGGACGAUAAGCAGACGGGCAAGCGCCGCCGGCGCGCUUGCCGUGGGCGUCCACUUCGCCCGAGCCCAGGAGUGGGGCGAGGGGUCGCGCCGGCGUUCCUACGCGCCUUGUCGCCCUUGAAGCUGGCCUUGGCGGGCCGAGGCAUCGCGGCGGAGGACGACAAGGCGGCCGGCGUGCUCUGUUGGGGCGACGCGUCGCGGCGCUCCGGCUCCAGCAGAUGACGGCAGAGAGCCAGGUGUGGCUUUGUGUCGCCAACAGCCACGAGGUCAUCGGCGCCGGCCACCGUGCCAGGCUGGACCAGCUGCUGCAGCCCCCCUGCGCCGUCGCCGUCGCCGUCGCCGUGGCACAAGAAGCGCGAGUUCCCCCCGCUGUCGGAGGCUGGGUGUCGUUCUCUAGUGCAGAUUGUCUAAUUGAGUUUCUGAAAGCGUCGUCCACGUCUGCACUUCAUGGGUCCGUACACUGGGAACUCACGCCUGAGAACUUCCUGCUCACCAGAUUGGUUUCAGUUUCUCUGUCUGCAUCGAAGAAGGUCAGCACUUUGCCUCGAACAGUUUCAUGAUUACACUCAUGACAUGAUUUACAGUACAGUAGUCUCAUGCGUUGAGCACUUGAGCUCAUAAUACUGCAAUACGGACAUACAUUUUCCAAGCAUAAAUUAAUGAAGAAGUUAUUGCAACAGGAGGGCCUCUAAUUGUAAUUCAUAUACACAUUUCAGCUCAAUAACCAUAUAACGCAUCUUGCCCGAGCUUGAUACUUCCGACUAUCUCCAUGUCUUUCGGGUCAAAGUUAAGUUAGCUCUAUAUACGAGCAGGCAUUUUAUUCUUUGGGAGCAAGCAAGAAUCAACAUAUUCUCUCGCAAUAUUAUCUCCUCCUUCCCCUUGUCAUCCUAAUCCCCUGCAGAUGGCAUGACUAGCUAGGUUCAUAACAGUUGUUGUAACUAUCCGUCCGGUCAUGAAUCAACAAUUACAAUUGUUUUGACUUCUACAAUCAGUUCAGCCGCCUAUGUUGUACUGCCGCUGCCAUUUAAAGAUUUAAGUUGUCAGGUGGAUAUAGGUUCCAUUAGAUUGAAAGUAAUGAAAUUUUAUUUGCCAACCUGGCUGCACUUUGUGAUGCUUUAUUUAUGUAUAUACUUAAAGUUCAAAUGUGAUGUAUGCAUUACUCCUUAUUUGAUACUAGCAUUUGUCGCAAGCACCUUGCUAUUCUGAGUAAUGGUUGAUAUCUUACAUUUAGCCGAGAAGCUGAAAACUUACGAGUUGGAAAACCUUCUAGAUAUACCUAAAAAGACCUUGAAGAUAUCUUCUACUAGACUGGACGAGCUGAUUGACUGGCGAUGGAGAUGCAGCAGUGACCUGCAAUUCUUUCUGCUGUGGAUGGUUCAUUUUGAAAUCUUUUUUAUAUCUGACAAGACACAAGAAAACAACAUAUCUAUCCUGUUAUAUUUACCACUAUCAUCUACAGUGAGUGCUAAGUUGCCCAUAAAUUUUAGUUGAUUUCUGUUCAGAGUGAUCUGAAAAAUAGAUAGCAUAAAAGAUUAGUGGGUAUUACAUUUAGAUUAGUUACAUUUGGGCAAAUAAAUGAGUAGAAGUCAAUUUUGUUUGCUUGAUGUUUCACUUCUUUGAUCUCUUCAUCAUUCUCAUUUUGUUUCAUUGCUUACCAUUUGUUCGAAAAAAUUUCUAGCAGUGGCAAGCAUGGUUAGGGCGAGCAACAAGGGUUCCUGUAGUGCAUAACCAUUUCAAGUCGCCCAAGUUCUAAAGAGAGAUCAGAAGUGCCAGCUACUGAAGCAAAAAAAAGGACCUGAUACACAUUGUAAUCAUGGACUGCUGAUAUACCUGAUGCAUUUCUUCAUGAUGGUCGAUUUCCUUUCACCGGAUCUUACAUGUUUAAUUAUGUGUGCUCGGAACCAAAAACUGAUUGAGAUCUUCAGUUCUUACUUGCAGAUGUUCUGUUAUUCAGAGUAAUUCAGUUUCCAGUCUCUGUUUAUUAAUCAAAUUAUGGGUUAUUUUCAACCAUAUAGGCUUUUAUUAUAUGUUCAGUUAUGCUUCCAUGGGUUUUGCAUAUGUAUUAACAAAACAACCAGACUGCUAUUCUGUAUAUACUUGGAUCAAAGGGUGUACAAUUAAUUUGCUCUUACGAAAGGAAUGAGUAGGCAGCUAGCAGAAUGGGAGGACAAUCAUGACAAGCGAAGGAACAAAUAAAUAGUAAUCCCACAAUUUUUACAACUGCAUUCCACUUUAAUUUGGUAUGGACAUGCAUUUUUAUCCUUGGAGUACUUUGGAUUUUAAGUGGGAAUCAUUGGUUCUUUUCUUCUUAAUAUUUUACUUCUUAUAAUUACAAAUACCAAUUUUAGAGAAUUGAGCUCGUACUUAAAAUUCAAUUGAGUAUGAAGCCACUGCCCAUUGUGUGAAAGAAACAAUUAUAACAUUGUACUCUAACAAAUCACACAUAUAGAGAAAUGUUAUUUUCGAGUCUCCUUAACCUACUGAUCUUUUUUUAGAUAUAUGAAACUUGCAUUUGUUUUCUUAAUUCUUCUGCAAUGCAGGUGAUAUUCCUAAUGGUUGCUGCUGACGCUAAAAAAAUUACUCCUGAAGCACUAGAAGUGCCCUCUCUAUGACGCAUCACUCACUGGAUCCAGAUGGGCAACAUUCCGCUUCAAGAUUAAAGAGUACCGUUUUUGCAUGCUAUCAUUGCUUAUCCAAGAGUAAUCUAGCAUGUGCCUAAUAUAUAUACAUGAUUGUUGCACCAUCACAAGAUUUCCAUUAUAUACAUGGGCAUAACUUUCUUUACUGUGAAUUAAUCGACACGAUGCUUCUGUUUUAAGGAAUGGCAAUGCUAAAUUCUACAGUGGUACUCUCUACUCUGUCGAAUGUUUACAAACACCAUAAAGCUAGAGAUCUAUUGUGGAAACUUUUCUUUCUUUUGUUUGUUAUAACUUCUUAGUGUAAAAAUAAAUAUGGCUUGUCCAUUACGAAACAAAUAUGUAAGAUUUAUUACUUUUCAAAGUUGAAUUGUUCCUGGCAAAUUACACAUGAGAGUGCAUACAAUUGAGUUGUGCUGACUUGCUGUUUCUAAAAUGAUAAGCUGGAGCUGGAGUUACAUAUGAGAGUAGAGAUAAUUAAGUUGUGCUCCUGACUUGAUUAACAAAAGCUGCAGAAGAAAGGGACAAAAUACCAAAGAGCUGAAAUUUUGAAGAAAGGUGGAAGUAGGGAACUACACAACUUGAUUCAAGGUUACGAAGGGAAAAAGGGCAUUGAUUGAGCAGGAGAAAACAAUAAUGGGCCGAGGCAAAGAUAUAGUGCUCAGUUAGUAAAGAGAUAUGUGGGAAGUUGAGCAGCGGGAUGCAAAUGGAAUUUUUGUGACUCACUGAAGGUGAGCAAAACUUCAGAAAAGAAAUUGCAACAGAAGUAGAGCCUCAUCACCAAGAGAACAUAGGGAUUUUAAGUUUUUUGUAGCCUGCACCGGAGACUGUAGAGUUAAGUUUCUACAUCUCAGUGUACAGUUUAACUAUAUCAGGUUAUUUCCUAUGUAGUAAAUAUUUGCUUUUGCCAUUGCUGAUCAUGUCCUUCUCUCUGUGCUUGGAAGCAUAAACUUACUUAGCGAUCCUUUUCUGUUAGGCUAAACUUACAUCCUUCUGCUAAUAGUUUAGUGAUCUAAUGAUUAUAAUGAUUAUUCAAAAGGGACGUUGCAUGUUCCUAGAUGCAUAGCCUUUCUUAUAUAUGUUUUCAUAACACUGGAUUUUUUUAGGGAUAACACUGGGAUUUAAGUUUUUUUGUUAAAUUCUGAAACUGAAAUCCGAAUAAAAAAUAUCUUGAAAGACCAGCAUAAUGGCACUUCAAAUAAAUGCUAAUCUACACUCACACUGCAGGCUGGUGCCCGUUCUUCUGGUGAUUUGGUCAAAGCUACUACUAAGCAAAGAUAUUUUGCAUGCUAUAAGAACAUGUAGGUUCAUAUCGGGGAGCCAUACGAUCCUGCUAAGAAUUUUGAAUCACUUUGAUAUAUUAACAACAACAUCGUUUAAAAUCCAAACAAAUGGCAUACUCCCUGUUAAUUCAAAUGCAGAUACAAACUUUAAGCUUUUCUAAAUAAGGAAAUAUAUUUACAGUCCAAGUGUAGUAAUCUGGGAGUUUGAAAUUAUUUCCCCUUUUUACAAAGCAAGGGACAUUGAAGUUAAUAUUCACAUACAUGGCAGGGAAGGAUUGAUCUCUCUGCUUAGCAAUGAAUUUGUAGCACCCCAUGAAAACAAAUAUUGUGCAGACCCUAUGGCGUCAUUGUGUUAGUAGGCCGUAUUGGCGUUGCAAUCUCCUCUUGGACUAACUAAUGCAUAGGUUAUAAAGCACAUCAAACCUUUUGUAGACCAACAAAUCCAACAUGCUAUGUAGAUCUUGUGUGUACGGAUUAAUCUGAUUGAUGACUGAUGGAAAGCUUCAGGACUUGUAUUCCCCCCUCACCCCAUAUCUGUAGUUUCCUAUGAUUCACUUUCAAAUCUGGAUAUUCUCUUAUAUAUUAACUACUGCAUUGGAGGAAAUUAAAUCACUUGCAAUCUACAAUUAAAGAAUAAUUAAGUGGGACCUUGAGAAACAAUAGUUUGCCAUGGUCUGCAAUGGGGCAGAGCCAAAGAGUUUGACCAGAAUAAAAGUCUGGACAACAAAAUUCAAUGGAGAGAGAUAUCCAUCUGUUACCCACAAAUGAUUAUUUUUUUGUUAGUGCCUCUUCUUCUUUCUUGCCCAUUAUUUAGUUAUAACGUGACAAAAUAAACAUGUUGAUUAUACCCGACUUGCACUGAACAUGAAAUUUUUGUUUAUGCACAAACAUGCGAGUUGUGUAGUACUGUAGGUUGACACUUCAUCGAAACAUAACACACAAUUACAUGUGCGUGUAUAAGGAGAAACUAUACCUGCAGCACACAUCCAUCUAUCUCGGUUUAUGGGAGAACUGGCAAAUUUAUGGUAAUGAAGCAUGUAGCUGAGGUGUGAGACAAAUCUUCCGUAGAGUGUUAAUGUUGUUAGUAGUAAUUAACUUGUCUCCUAGGAGCUAACUGCAGCAACUUACCUUGAUUGUUAGAUACAGUAUAGCAUUAUUCAUCUUCAUCCAUGAUUGAUUCUUCUGUUUGCUGCAAUUCUUUGACAAUUCUUAGCAUCACACAACCAAAGGUGAGAAGCAAAAAUUUGAAGCACGGAACAAAAAAUUCACAAACCAAUGCAUUUAGUAACCAUCGUGGUUCUUACAGGUCCUUUGCAAUCCAAAUUCCAGUUCUAUGACUUGCAAGGAAGGAUGAAGUCCAUGUCAUGAAAAUUUUAAUAUGUGGUCGCUGCCUCCUCCAGCCAUGGAUUUCAAAGGUACGCAGAUUCACCUACAACAUGCAUAUGGGAGAACUUGCAGAUCUGAAGGAAUCAAGUAUCUAGCUAAGGUGCUUGUAGCCACGAUCAGUGCUCCAUCGAGCAAUUUCUUAGGGCUGCACAGAUGCAACAACCUGGUAGAUAGGAUCAUCCUCUAUCAAAAAUAGCCAAAGGAAGAUGUCAGCAUCAGAGAUCCCAUAUAGGCCAGGAUAAUGUCAAAAUAUCUUGGCAUGGGCACGUGGCUCAUAGCCUGAACUUGAGACCGUUUACUCCAUGCUCGUGGUGGAGGCCUAGUCUCGACGGGGGCAUGGCAGUGGCGUGCGUUAGGAUUGGAUUCCGUCGAAGACCUAGGAUUGAUUUUCUAGCUGAGGCUGCGUGCGUGAGGGCUGGAGAGUCGGUUGUAGCCAUGGGAUUCUGGCGGCAGCAGCGUGCGUGAGGGCAGGGGAGUCUGCAGCCCUAUUAUGUUUUUCUUCUUUCAACGAUGGACUCAGGUAAUGGGAAAACUAAUCUAUGGCAUGGCCCUGUAUAUUUUGUCUUCUUUUCACGAUGGAGUCAAGGUUUCUAAAAAAAUUAUGGCAUUGCUGAAUCGUAGAGGCAGGUGAAAGCUAUUUUGACGCAGCAUAUGCUUUAGUAGGAGUUAUCUCUACCUCUCUAUCUCUACCUAAUCUCUACCUAAUAAUAAAGCAAAUUGGGUUUCUGCUUGUCCGUCAUUAGCAUUUUUGCUAAAAAGCCCCUCCCUUUUUUAGUAUUUAACCCGCAGUACAAUUUAAAGUCUGUUUCUUCUUGAGAUAAUGAUUCAUUUUUUGCAAAAAGGACCCGGGCACCACCACCACAACCCCGCCUUAUCCACUGCCGGUCUUCACAAACGGGCAGCGGCGCGCUUGCCAUGGCGUCCGCUCCGCCCGAGCCCAGUAAUGGGGCGAGGCGUCGCGGCGGCGUUCCUGCACGCCUUGUCGGCCUUGGAGCUAGCCUUGGCGGGGGCGGGCCGAGGCGUCGCGGCGGAGGACGAUAAGCAGACGGGCACGCGCCACCGGCGCGCUUGCCGUGGGCGUCCGCUUUGCCCGAGCCCAGUAGUGGGGCGAGGGGUCGCGCCGGCGUUCCUACACGCCUUGUCGACCUUGAAGCUGGCCUUGGCGGGCCGAGGCGUCGCGGCGGAGGACGACAAGGCGGCCGGCGUGCUCUGUUGGGGCGACGCGUCGCGGCGCUCUGGCUCCAGUAGAUGACGGCAGAGAGCCAGGUGUGGCUUUGUGUCGCCGGCCACCGUGCCAGGCUGGAAUAGCUGCUGCAGCCCCCCUUAUUUGAUACUUGCAUUUGUGGCAAGCACCUUGCUGUUCUGAGUAAUGGUUGAUAUCUUAUAUUUAGCCGAGAAGCUGAAAACUUACGAGUUGGAAAACCUUCUAGAUAUACCUAAAAAGACCUUGAAGAUAUCUUCUACUAGACUGGACGAGCUGAUUGACUGGCGAUGGAGAUGCAGCAGUGACCUGCAAUUCUUUCUGCUGUGGAUGGUUCAUUUUGAUAUCUUUUUUAUAUCUGACAAGACACAAGAAAACAACAUAUCUAUCCUGUUAUAUUUACCACUAUCAUCUACAGUGAGUGCUAAGUUGCCCAUAAAUUUUAGUUGACUUCUGUUCAGAGUGAUCUGAAAAAUAGAUAGCAAAAAAGAUUAGUGGGUAUUACAUUUAGAUUAGCUACAUUUGGGCAAAUAAAUGAGUAGAAGUCAAUUUUGUUUGCUUGAUGUUUCACUUCUUUGAUCUCUUCAUCAUUCUCAUUUUGUUUCAUUGCUUACCAUUUGUUCGAAAUUUUUUCUAGCAGUGGCAAGCAUGGUUAGGGCGAGCAACGAGGGUUCCUAUAGUGCAUAACCAUUUCGAGUCGCCCAAGUUCUAAAGAGAGAUCAGAAGUGCCAGCUACUGAAGCAAAAAAAAGGACCUGAUACACAUUGUAAUCAAUGACUGCUGAUAUACCUGAUGCAUUUCUUCAUGAUGGUCGAUUUCCUUUCACCGGAUCUUACAUGUUUAAUUAUGUGUGCUCGGAACCAAAAACUGAUUGAGAUCUUCAGUUCUUACUUGCAGAUGUUCUUUUAUUCAGAGUAAUUCAGUUUCCAGUCUCUAUGUAUUAAUCAAAUUAUGGGUUAUUUUCAACCAUAUAGACUUUUAUUAUAUGUUCAGUUAUGCUUCCAUGGGUUUUGCAUAUGUAUUAACAAAACAACCAGACUGCUAUUACGUAUAUAGUUGGAUCAAAGGGUGUACAAUUAAUUUGCUCUGACGAAAGGAAUGAGUAGGCAGCUAGCAGAAUGGGAGGACAAUCAUGACAAGCGAACGAACAGAUAAAUAGUAAUCCCACAAUUUUUACAACUGCAUUCCACUUUAAUUUGGUAUGGACAUGCAUUUUUAUCCUUGGAGUACUUUGGAUUUUAAGUGGGAAUCAUUGGUUCUUUUCUUCUUAAUAUUUUACUUCUUAUAAUUACAAAUACCAAUUUUAGAGAAUUGAGCUCGUACUUAAAAUUCAAUUGAAUAUGAAGCCACUGCCCAUUGUGUGAAAGAAACAAUUAUAACAUUGUACUCUAACAAAUCACACAUAUAGAGAAAUGUUAUUUUCGAGUCUCCUUAACCUACUGAUCUUUUUUUAGAUAUAUGAAACUUUCAUUUGUUUUCUUAAUUCUUCUGCAAUGCAGGUGAUAUUCCUUGGUUGCUGCUGACGCUAAAAAAAUUACUCCUGAAGCACUAGAAGUGCCCUCUCUAUGGCGCAUCACUCACUAGAUCCAGAUGGGCAACAUUCCGCUUCAAGAUUAAAGAGUACAGUUUUUGCAUGCUAUCAUUGCUUAUCCAAGAGUAAUCUACCAUGUGCCUAAUUGUUAUGACCGGCCAUGUCUAUGGCCGCCGCAGGCCCAACAGGCAGUCUUAGGCCCGCAAGUUACCUUAGUUUUAUUCAGAUUAGGCAAGUUAUCUCAGGAUUGAUUCUUCUACAAGUUAUCUAGGAUAUAAAUAUAGAUUGUAAGACUCUUUUGGAUGGAAGCAAUAAAGACUAUUAUUAUCUUUUGUUGCCCGGCUCCUAGAGGAGCCGGAAACCCUAGCUGCCGCAACCUAGCUGCCACCGCCCUCAACCCUAGCCGCGACGGCACCCUGCCGCUGGCGCGCCCGCUCCUCGCCGCGCCCACUUCCUCUUUGCCCCUACAACCUACGCAGUAGAGCCGGUAGGAACCCUAGUCCUACCAAUUUGGUAUUCAGAGACCACGUUGUGAUCAUGUCGAUGCCGCCAUCACCGCCGCCGCUGCCCGUCCGCACCACCGCGCCCAUGACGACGGCGCCAAGCAUCACCGCGCCGACCGCAUCCGCCGGGACCUCGCUGGCGUGUCCCGUCUCCUCCUCGGCACCUCCUGCACCGGCGUCUCCGGGCGCAUCUCCACCACCACCGCUGGCCGCCUUGUCUCCGGAGCAACUCGCCGCCAUGCUACAUCACCUCGUCACCGUCGUCCACGGGCUUCAGCUCCACCAGCAAUAUGGGGCCGGCGCCUAUGCUCAACCGCCAUCGGCCCCGAUCGCCGCCCCUGGUCUUCUCCUACAGCAGCAGCCGCAGUACGGGGGCGGGGCGAGCCCCUUCGCGCCACCACCAGGAGCGUACCAGGGCGCGGCCGCGUACGGCGGGCCCCUGUUCGGGCCGAUCCAGGCGAGAUUGGCAUCCGGGCCAGCGCCGGCCGCGGCGCCCCUCUGGCCUUUGCCGCCGGCCACCUCGGCCGCCUCCUAGCUGCAGCAGCCGCCACCCACCGUCUGGCCGGUUCAGCAGAUGCCGUUCCUCGCAUGGCCGGCCCAGCAGCCGCCGCCGACGGCGUCCCAGGGCCUGCGUCCACCGCCGUUCUCCGCGCCCUCAUCAGCCGGGACCACCUCGGGCACGGCCUCGACUAUCGGGUUACUGAUCCAUCAGGUCCAGUUUCCCCCUUCCCCGUCCCCCCCUGCCAGCAUGGGCGGCGGGGUCUUCGCCUUCACCGGUCCACACCACGACCCCGGUUGAGCCGACUCCGUUUCCGCAGUUCGGCAGGCCAUCCGGCCCCGCCGGCCAGUACCCGGACUACUCCGAUCAGGCACCUCCGGCUUCACUCUUCCGAGCCCCCGCGCCUGCUCAGCACGGCGGGCCGCAGCAGACACCGCCGCUGUUCGCCAAACUCGACUUCGCCACCUACGAGGGCACGGAGGACCCCCUCAACUGGCUCAACCAGUGCGAACAGUUCUUUCGAGGGCAGCGGACACUCGCUUCAGAUCGUACCUGGCUCGCGUCCUAUCAUCUUCGAGGCGCAGCACAGACCUGGUACUACGCCCUCGAGUAGGACGAGGGCGGCAUGCCACCGUGGGAGCGCUUCCAGGAGCUCUGUCUUCUCCGUUUUGGGCCUCCUAUCCGCGGGAGCCGACUGGCGGCCCUCUGUCGUUUACCAUUCACAUCUACGGUGCAGGACUACGCCGAUCGCUUCCAGGCCCUGGCAUGCCACGCGCCGGGCGUCUCCGCGACCCAGCGCGCCGAGCUCUUUGUGGGCGGUCUGCCGGACCAUAUCCGCGUGGACGUCGAGCUCCGGGAUCCCCCCGAUCUCCAGACGGCCAUGUACUACGCCCGGGCCUUCAAGCAGCGGGUCCAGGCACUGCAGCCGCCACUCGGACGGAGUGGCCGCCAGCCCAGUCGGCCAGCACCAACUUCCUCAGCCCCGGGUCGGCCUCUCCCAUCCGCGACGGCCACAUCCCCGGCUGCCACACGGCCCUUCCGUCGGCUGUCACCGGCCGAGCAGCAGGAGCGUCGCCGUCAGGGUCUCUGCUUCAACUGCGAUGAGCCCUACACACCGACCCAUGUCUGCCCCCGCCUCUUUUAUUUAGAGACGGUCGACUACACCGAGGAGAACGACUCGCCCGAUCCGUUACAUCCGCCUGCGGCGCCCGAGGACGCGGCCGCGGAUUCCGCAGCGACGGCGUGCGUCGUCUCCCUUCACGCCCUGGCCGGCAUCCGGGGCGAGCAGACCAUGCUGCUGCCGGUGACGAUCCAUGGCGAGCGCCUGGUGGCCCUGCUAGAUACGGGCUCCACACACAACUUUCUGCCCGAAUCGACCAUGCGUCGGCUAGCCCUCCCGACGACGGGCGAGGAGCGCCUGCGGAUCACAGUGGCGAACGGUGAUCGCCUCCGGUGCCAUGGGCUAGCCCGCGACGUUCCCAUCUCCAUCGGCGACGAACACUUUUCCAUCACUUGUGCAGGGAUCGAUCUCGGCUGCUUCGACUUCAUCCUCGGGGUGGACUUUCUCCGGACCCUCGGCCCCAUCCUAUGGGAUUUCGAUGCACUCAUGAUGACAUUCUCGCGGCAGGGACGCCGCAUCCGAUGGGAGGGCAUUGGGGGCGCCGCGGCUGCCGUGCCACAUCUCCAGCUGGCUGCCGCGUCCUCGGAGGCUGAGCACCCCCUGCUGGAUUCUCUUCUGGAGCAGCACAGCGACCUCUUCGACGCUCCACGGGGUCUUCCACCUGCCCGGGUGUACGACCAUCAUAUUCACCUCAUACCAGGCUCCAGUCCGGUGGUGGUACGGCCCUACCACUACCCCCAGCUGCAGAAGGAUGAGUUGGAGCGCCAGUGUGCCCUGAUGCUCGCCGCACGCAUCAUCCGGAUCUCCACGUCACCCUUCACGGCGCCGGUGCUUCUCGUCCGUAAGUCCGACGGCACAUGGCGCUUCUGCAUCGACUACCGCGCCCUCAACGCACUCACGCUCAAGGACAAGUUCCCUAUACCGGUGGUCGACGAGCUCUUGGAUGAGCUCCAUGGGGCACGCUUCUUCACCAAGCUCGAUCUUCGGUCGGGCUAUCAUCAGGUGCGCAUGCAUCCGGACGACAUCGCCAAGACGGCGUUUCGCACCCACCAUGGCCACUUCGAGUUCUUGGUGAUGCCUUUCGGCCUCGCCAACGCCCCGACGACUUUCCAAGCCCUGAUGAACGACGUCCUUCGACCCUACUUACGGCGGUUUGUGCUUGUUUUCUUUGAUGACAUUCUUAUCUACAGCGCCACCUGGGCCGAACAUCUCCAGCACGUCGCCAUCGUCUUCAACGAGCUUCGGGCGCACCACCUCCACCUUAAGCGCUCAAAGUGCUCGUUCGAGACACCUACCGUCGCCUACCUCGGCCAUGUCAUCUCGGCCGACGGAGUGGCUAUGGACGCCGAUAAGGUGGCGGCCGUCUCCGCCUGGCCGACGCCUCACUCACCGCGGGCUCUCCGCGGGUUCCUCGGACUCGCUGGCUACUACCGGAAAUUUAUCCGGGAGUUCGGACUCAUCGCGGCGCCCCUCACGCGGUUGCUUCGCCGCGACGCCUUCGCCUGGGACGCUGAGGCGUCGACGGCAUUCGAGGCCCUCAAGGGGGCCCUCACGACGGGCCCCGUCCUCCAGAUGCCCGACUUCGACCGUCCGUUCGUGGUGGACUGUGACGCCUCGGGCACCGGGUUCGGCGCCGUACUUCAUCAGGGCGAUGGGCCCCUCGCCUUCUUCAGCCGGCCUUUCGCUCCGCGCCAUCUUAAGUUGGCCGCUUACGAGCGGGAGAUCAUUGGCCUCGUCCAGGCCGUGCGUCAUUGGCGGCCAUACUUGUGGGGGCGGACCUUCCACAUUCGCACGGACCACUACAGCCUGAAUUUCUUCCUGGAUCAACGGCUGUCGACCGUACCGCAGCACCAGUGGAUCAGCAAGCUCUUCGGCUUCGACUUCUCCGUCGAGUAUCGGCCGGGCCGUCUUAACACCGUGGCCGAGGCGCUAUCCCGUCGCGAUUCCGACCUCGCGCCAACCGCCGACGCGUCCGUCGGGACGGCCCUGUGCAUCCGCUUCGGGCCAUCGUUCGGUCUCUUCACCGACAUUCGACGCGCCACUGCGACGGCCGAUGACGCCGCACUUCUUCAGCAGCAGCUCACGGUCGGCGACUUGGAGGAGCCCUGGCGCUUCUCUGACGGACUGCUCCUGCAUGUACGCCGGAUCUUUGUUCCGGCGCAUGAUGAUCUCCGUCACCAGGUGUUGCAGCUCGCUCACUCGGCGGGCCAUGAGGGUGUGCAGAAAACCCUCCAUCGUCUUCGCGCCGACUUCUACAUCCUUGGCGAUCGUGCCCUGGUCCGCGACUGGGUUCGGUCUUGUCAGACUUGCCAGCGCAACAAGACAGAGACCCUGAGACCGGCGGGGCUCCUUCAGCCCUUGGAGGUGUCGUCUCAGGUUUGGGCGGAUAUCUCCUUGGACUUCAUCGAGGGCCUUCCCAAGGUAGGGGGCAAGUCAGUCAUCCUCACGGUGGUCGAUCGCUUCUCUAAGUACGCCCACUUCAUCGCGUUGGGCCAUCCGUACACAGCGGCAUCCGUGGCCCGGGCUUUCUUUGACGGCAUAGUCUGUCUACACGGGUUCCCGACGUCGAUCGUCAGUGAUCGGGACCCAAUCUUCACGGGCCAUGUCUGGCGCGACCUCUUCAGGAUGGCGGGUGUCCAGCUCCGCCUGAGUAUGGCGUUCCAUCCUCAGACGAACGGUCAGUCUGAGGUGGUUAACAAGGUCAUUGCCAUGUAUUUGCGUUGUGUGACAGGUGAUCGACCUCGCUCUUGGGUGGACUGGCUAUCUUGGGCGGAGUACUGCUACAACACUUCUUAUCACUCCGCCCUGCGCGCGACGCCAUUUGAGGUGGUCUAUGGUCGACCACCCCCGCCUAUACUUCCGGUCGACCCGAAGACGGCUCGGACAGCAGUAGCGGGUGACCUUAUCCGCACCCGUGAUGAGAUGCUGGCUGAGGUCCUUCAGCGUCUCCUUCAGGCCCAGCAGACGGCCAAGCACUACUACGACGAUCAUCAUCGCGAGGCGGAGUUCGCAGUGGCUGACUGGGUGUGGCUGCGUCUUCUCCACCGCUCUACGCAGUCACUGGACACGCGCGCAAAGCGCAAGCUUGGCCCUCGCUACGCCGGGCCCUUCCCUGUCGUGGAGCGCAUUGGGAAGGUGGCCUAUCGUCUUCAGCUUCCAGCCCGCGCCCGCAUCCACGACGUGUUCCAUGUGGGGCUGCUCAAACCUUUCCGUGGCGAGCCACCGGCGGCACCUCCGACGCUUCCUCCAACCGCCGAUGGUCGCAUUCUUCCAGAGCCAGCAAAGGUGUUGCAGGCUCAGCUCCGUCGUGGCGUCUGGUUCAUCCUAAUUCAGUGGGCGGGCCUUCCGGAGGAAGAGGCGACUUGGGAGCAGCGUGAGGAUUUCCGUCAACACUAUCCAGACUUUCAGCUCGAGGACGAGCUGUUUGCGCAGGCGGGGAGAGAUGUUAUGACCGGCCAGGUCUAUGGCCGCCGCAGGCCCAACAGGCAGGCUUAGGCCCACAAGUUACCUUAGUUUUAUUCAGAUUAGGCAAGUUAUCUCAGGAUUGAUUCUUCUACAAGUUAUCUAGGAUAUAAAUAUAGAUUGUAAGACUCUUUUGGAUGGAAGCAAUAAAGACUAUUAUUAUCUUUUGUUGCCCGGCUCCUAGAGGAGCCGGAAACCCUAGCCGUCGCAACCUAGCCGCCACCGCCCUCAACCCUAGCCGCGACGGCGCCCUGCCGCCGGCGCGCCCGCUCCUCGCCGCGCCCACUUCCUCUUUGCCCCUACAACCUACGCAGUAGAGCCGGUAGGAACCCUAGUCCUACCACUAAUAUAUAUACAUGAUUGUUGCACCAUCACAAGAUUUCCAUUAUAUACAUGGGCAUAACUUUCUUUACUGUGAAUUAAUCGACACGAUGCUUCUGUUUUAAGGAAUGGCAAUGCUAAAUUCUACAGUGGUACACUCUACUCUGUCGAAUGUUUACAAACACCACAAAGCUAGAGAUCUAUUGUGGAAACCUUUCUUUCUUUUGUUUGUUAUAACUUCUUAGUGUAAAAAUAAAUAUGGCUUGUCCAUUACGAAACAAAUAUGUAAGAUUUAUUACUUUUCAAAGCUGAAUUGUUCCUGACAAUUACACAUGAGAGUGCAAAGGUGAGAAGCAAAAAUUUGAAGCACGGAACAAAAAAUUCACAAACCAAUGCAUUUAGUAACCAUCGUGGUUCUUACAGGUCCUUUGCAAUCCAAAUUCCAGUUCUAUGACUUGCAAGGAAGGAUGAAGUCCAUGUCAUGAAAAUUUUAUUAUGUGGUCGCUGCCUCCUCCAGCCAUGGAUUUCAAAGGUACGCAGAUUCACCUACAACAUGCAUAUGGGAGAACUUGCAGAUCUGAAGGAAUCAAGCAUCUAGCUAAGGUGCCUGUAGCCACGAUCAGUGCUCCAUCGAGCAAUUUCUUAGGGCUGCACAGAUGCAACAACCUGGUAGAUAGGAUCAUCCUCUAUCAAAAAUAGCCAAAGGAAGAUGUCAGCAUCAGAGAUCCCAUAUAGGCCAGGAUAAUGUCAAAAUAUCUUGGCAUGGGCACGUGGCUCAUAGCCUGAACUUGAGACCGUUUACUCCAUGCUCGUGGUGGAGGCCUAGUCUCGACGGGGGCAUGGCAGUGGCGUGCGUUAGGAUUGGAUUCCGUCGAAGACCUAUGAUUGAUUUUCUAGCUGAGGCUGCGUGCGUGAGGGCUGGAGAGUCGGUUGUAGCCACGGGAUUCUGGCGGCGGCAGCGUGCGUGAGGGCAGGGGAGUCUGUAGCCCUAUUAUGUUUUUCUUCUUUGAACGAUGGACUCAGGUAAUGGGAAAACUAAUCUAUGGCAUGACCCUGUAUAUCUUAUCUUCUUUUCAUCAUGGAGUCAAGGUUUCUAAAAAAAUUAUGGCAUUGCUGAAUCGUAGAGUCAGGUGAAAGCUAUUUUGACGCAUCAUAUGCUUUAGUAGGAGUUAUCUCUACCUCUCUAUCUCUACCUAAUCUCUACCUAAUAAUAAUAAAGCAAAUUGGGUUUCUGCUUGUCCGUCAUUAGCAUUUUUUCUAAAAAGCCCCUCCCUUUUUUAGUAUUUAACACGCAGUAUAAUUUAAAGUCUGUUUCUUCCUGAGAUAAUGAUUCGUUUUUUGCAAAAAGGACCCCGGCACCACCACCACAGCCCCGCCUUAUCCACUGCCGGCCUUCACAAACGGGCAGCGGCGCGCUUGCCGCGGCGUCCGCUCCGCCCGAGCCCAGUAAUGGGGCGAGGCGUCGCGGCGGCGUUCCUGCACGCCUUGUCGGCCUUGGAGCUAGCCUUGGCGGGGGCGGGCCGAGGCGUCGCGGCGGAGGACGUUAAGCAGACGGGCACGCGCCGCCGGCGCGCUUGCCGUGGGCGUCCGCUUCGCCCGAGCCCAGGAGUGGGGCGAGAGGUCGCGCCGGCGUUCCUACACGCCUUGUCGCCCUUGAAGCUGGCCUUGGCGGGCCGAGGCGUCGCGGCGGAGGACGACAAGGCGGCCGGCGUGCUCUGUUGGGGCGACGCGUCGCGGCGCUCCGGCUCCAGCAGAUGACGGCAGAGAGCCAGGUGUGGCUUUGUGUCGCCAACAGCCACGAGGUCAUCGGCGCCGGCCACCGUGCCAGGCUGGACCAGCUGCUGCAGCCCCCCUGCGCCGUUGCCGUCGCCGUGGCACAAGAAGCGCGAGUUCCCCCUCGCUAUCGGAGGCUGGGUGUCGUUCUCUAGUGCAGAUUGUCUAAUUGAGUUUUUGAAAGCGUCGUCCACGUCUGCACUUCAUGGGUCCAUACACUGGGAACUCACGCCUGAGAACUUCCUGCUCACCAGAUUGGUUUCAGUUUCUCUGUCUCCAUCGAAGAAGGUCAGCACUUUGCCUCGAACAGUUUCAUGAUUACACUCAUGACAAGAUUUACAGUACAGUAGUCUCAUGCGUUGAGCUCAUAAUACUGCAGUACGGACAUACAUUUUCCAAGCAUAAAUUAAUGCAGAAGUUAUUGCAACAGGAGGGCCUCUAAUUGUAAUUCAUAUACACAUUUCAGCUCAAUAACCAUAUAACGCAUCUUGCCCGAGUUUGAUACUUCCGACUAUUUCCAUGUCUUUCGGGUCAAAGUUAAGUUAGCUCUAUAUACGAGCAGGCAUUUUAUUCUUUGGGAGCAAGCAAGAAUCAAUAUAUUCUCUCGCAAUAUUAUCUCCUCCUUCCCCUUGUCUUCCUAAUCCCCUGCAGAUGGCAUGACUAGGUAGGUUCAUAACAGUUGUUGUAACUAUCCGUCCGGUCAUGAAUCAACAAUUACAAUUGUUUUGACUUCUACGAUCAGUUCAGCUGCCUAUGUUGUACUGCCGCUGCCAUUUAAAGAUUUAAGUUGUCAGGUGGAUAUAGGUUCCAUUAGAUUGAAAGUAAUGAAAUUUUAUUUGCCAACCUGGCUGCACUUUGUGAUGCUUUAUCUAUGUAUAUACUUGAAGUUCAAAUGUGAUGUAUGCUUUACUCCUUAUUUGAUACUUGCAUUUGUCGCAAGCACCUUGCUGUUCUGAGUAAUGGUUGAUAUCUUACAUUUAGCCGAGAAGCUGAAAACUUACGAGUUGGAAAACCUUCUAGAUAUACCUAAAAAGACCUUGAAGAUAUCUUCUACUAGAAUGGACGAGCUGAUUGACUGGCGAUGGAGAUGCAGCAGUGACCUGCAAUUCUUUCUGUUGUGGAUGGUUCAUUUUGAAAUCUUUUUUAUAUCUGACAAGACACAAGAAAACAACAAUCUAUCCUGUUAUAUUUACCACUAUCAUCUACAGUGAGUGCUAAGUUGCCCAUAAAUUUUAGUUGACUUCUGUUCAGAGUGAUCUGAAAAAUAGAUAGCAAAAAAGAUUAGUGGGUAUUACAUUUGGAUUAGUUACAUUUGGGCAAAUAAAUGAGUAGAAGUCAAUUUUGUUUGCUUCAUGUUUCACUUCUUUGAUCUCUUCAUCAUUCUCAUUUUGUUUCAUUGCUUACCAUUUGUUCGCAUUUUUUUCUAGCAGUGGCAAGCAUGGUUAGGGCGAGCAACGAGGGUUCCUGUAGUGCAUAACCAUUUCAAGUCGCCCAUGUUCUAAAGAGAGAUCAGAAGUGCCAGCUACUGAAGCAAAAAAAAAGGACCUGAUACACAUUGUAAUCAUGGACUGCUGAUAUACCUGAUGCAUUUCUUCAUGAUGGUCGAUUUCUGUUCACCGGAUCUUACAUGUUUAAUUAUGUGUGCUCGGAACCAAAAACUGAUUGAGAUCUUCAGUUCUUACUUGCAGAUGUUCUGUUAUUCAGAGUAAUUCAGUUUCCAGUCUCUGUGUAUUAAUCAAAUUAUGGGUUAUUUUCAACCAUAUAGGCUUUUAUUAUAUGUUCAGUUAUGCUUCCAUGGGUUUUGCAUAUGUAUUAACAAAACAACCAGACUGCUAUUCUGUAUAUACUUGGAUCAAAGGGUGUACAAUUAAUUUGCUCUUACGAAAGGAAUGAGUAGGCAGAUAGCAGAAUGGGAGGACAAUCAUGACAAGCGAAGGAACACAUAAAUAGUAAUCCCACAAUUUUUACAACUGCAUUCCACUUUAAUUUGUCAUGGACAUGCAUUUUUAUCCUUGGGGUACUUUGGAUUUUAAGUGGGAAUCAUUGGUUCUUUUCUUCUUAAUAUUUUACUUCUUAUAAUUACAAAUACCAAUUUUAGAGAAUUGAGCUCGUACUUAAAAUUCAAUUGAGUAUGAAGCCACUGCCCGUUGUGUGGAAGGAACAAUUAUAACAUUGUACUCUAACAAAUCACACAUAUAGAGAAAUGUUAUUUUCGAGUCUCCUUAACCUAAUGAUCUUUUUUUAGAUAUAUGAAACUUGCAUUUGUUUUCUUAAUUCUUCUGGAAUGCAGGUGAUAUUCCUAAUGGUUGCUGCUGACGCUAAAAAAUUUACUCCUGAAGCACUAGAAGUGCCCUCUCUAUGGCGCAUCACUCACUGGAUCCAGAUGGGCAACAUUCCGCUUAAAGAUUAAAGAGCACCAUUUUUGCAUGCUAUCAUUGCUUAUCCAAGAGUAAUCUACCAUGUGCCUAAUAUAUAUACAUGAUUGUUGCACCAUCACAAGAUUUCCAUUAUAUACAUGGCCAUAACUUUCUUUACUGUGAAUUAAUCGACACGAUGCUUCUGUUUUAAGGAAUGGCAAUGCUAAAUUCUACAGUGGUACUCUCUACUCUGUCGAAUGUUUACAAACACCACAAAGCUAGAGAUCUAUUGUGGAAACCUUUCUUUCUUUUGUUUGUUAUAACUUCUUAGUGUAAAAAUAAAUAUGGCUUGUCCAUUACGAAACAAAUAUGUAAAAUUUAUUACUUUUCAAAGUUGAAUUGUUCCUGACAAUUACACAUGAGAGUGCAUAUAAUUGAGUUGUGCUGACUUGCUGUUUCUAAAAUGAUAAGCUGGAGCUGGAGUUACAUAUGAGAGUAGAGAUAAUUAAGUUGUGCUCCUGACUUGAUUAACAAAAGCUGCAGAAGAAAGGGACAAAAUACCAAAAAGCUGAAAAUUUGAAGAAAGGUGGAAGUAGGGAACUACACAACUUGAUUCAAGGUUACGAAGGGACAAAGGGCAUUGAUUGAGCAGGAGAAAACAAUAAUGGGCCGAGGCAAGGAUAUAGUGCUCAGUUAGUAAAGAGAUAUGUGGGAAGUGGAGCAGCGGGAUGCAAAUGGAAUUUUUGUGACUCGCUGAAGGUGAGCAAAACUUCAGAAAAGAAAUUGCAACAGAAGUAGAGCCUCAUCACCAAGAGAACAUAGGGAUUUUAAGUUUUUUGUAGCCUGCACCGGAGACUGUAGAGUUAAGUUUCUACAUCUCAGUGUACAGUUUAACUAUAUCAGGUUAUUUACUAUGUAGUAAAUAUUUGCUUUUGCCAUUGCUGAUCAUGUCCUUCUCUUUGUGCUUGGAAGCAUAAACUUACUUAGUGAUCCUUUUCUGUUAGGCUAAACUUACAUCCUUCUGCUAAUAGUUUAGUGAUCUAAUGAUUGUAAUGAUUAUUCAAAAGGGACGUUGCAUGUUCCUAGAUGCAUAGCCUUUCUUAU
rnacentral:lncRNA from 1 species